rnacentral:lncRNA from 1 species
AAAAAAAAGCAAGAGCAAAACACUAAUGUAGCAACUGUCGCAUUAGCUAAACCCGACUCCGCAUUAGUAUACCCCCUUUAACCCAUUACAAUUUUUUUAUAAACACAACUUUGGUAUUAAGUUAAUGUGAAUUGUAUUUUAAUACCCUGUAAUCCUAUGAUUCAAACACACCCAAAGUGAUGAACUGAGACCAGCAAAGCCAAACCAAAUGAUUUCAACGACAUAGUUGGGAUGAUAAAACAAGAAUGUUCUACAUACAGUUAUGGUUCUGGCUUAUUGACAAUCAUUCAAGCAAAUUUACUUCCAAGAAACGUGUAACACGAGGGCGACUCCCACAUUGAUGAUACAGGUACAAUUGAGGUCUUGGCCACUGUGAAAUUGCAGCACAUAGCAGCAAUGGCAAGCAUUAAAUUGCAACCCAGGCUAGCAUUCGAUUAAAGACUAGAGAUGGCUGGACUCGAGAAGCAAAAUGGAAUGUUACGCAUCAGAAACCUUCUUAAAAGAAAAGCAAGUUUCACCAUCAAAACUUAUGGAGUACACCUGAGAGUUGAGCUUCUCAAAGAAUAAUAAUCAAACUCAAUAAGAGACGAAGAGUAGCUCAACUGAAAGAGUUUCAAAUAAUUCACGCAGCUCCGUCACAGUAUAAUCAAUCACUCAUCACCCCAAGUUGACGGUCCACCCAAUCCAACUUCAGGUUCCUGAGACAAUUGAACUGUCAGACCCAUACCCCUGUUUUUAGAUUUCUUCUACCCAUACCCCUGUUUUUAGAUUUCUUCUUCUUAGCAGAAGUGGUAACUAAGCCAUCAACUGAGUUGAAUUUAGAAGCUUCAUUAACCAUAUUGUCACCAUCAAACUCAGGAUUUCCUGCAAUAUUGGCAGAGAAGAGCUCCGCGAAAGCGGCUUCUCCAUUGUCAAUAAUGUCAAGUUCUCCUUGUUUCUCCUUUGACUGUUUCUUCUGUUUCUUUUUAAAUCUGUUAUCAUCAUCGUCAACUUGAAUGUCUUUGUUUGAGAGAUUUUCACUGGUUUUCUUUCUCUUAUCGCCAUCUUUGUUUCGACCAGGCACAAUGCCUCCAGAGUUCUUUGCAUCAUUAAUAGCAUCAAGCUCCCCUUCUUUCUCUUUUGACUUCUUUUUCAAUUUCUUCCCUGCUGCAGAAUCACUUUUGCUCCACUGAAUUUCUUUAUUUGAGGGUUUGUCAUUUGUUUCUCUAGUGCCAUCUCUUUUCUUUUCCAUAUGAACUUUUAUCGUGUCAUCAGCAUUAUUUGAGGAAUCAUUAACUUUAUCAACUAUAUUGUCCUUUUCAUUUUUGGUGAUUCUAUCUAUUGGUCUAGCAUUGAAUAUACGCAAGUUUGGCAAUAGAUUUUUGACCUGCAACAAUAUUGAACAUAGAUUAAUCCAGCUAGGAGCAGAAUUCUUGAAAGAUGAUUAACAUGAUAAAAUGAUUGCGAUAUUACCUUCUUUGCCAAUUUAUCAUAUUCAGCUACAGGGUUUCCUUGUAGAUUGAGGUUAUUCAGACUGACUAAUGACUUCAGCACCUGCUAUUCGAGCAUGUUACCAUUAUGCAUGGUGACGAAGUAUAUAGAAAAAACUUGAUGAAAACAAAUAUAAAAGAAACAAAUAUUUCAAUGCCUCACCUUCAAUUCUGACCAUCUUGUGAUCAAGUUCUUUCCUAAGUCUAAAUUUUGAAGCUUCUUAUUAAAAGCCAACUUGGCCGGAAGAGUCUAGACAAUUCAGAGAGUGAGACAGAGAAAGACAACAUAAGAAAUGAACAAAAUAUCAAUCAUGAUAUUAACAAACAAAAAAAAAUAUAAUGAAUUUGAGGAUAGCCUGCUAUCAUAAAAUGACCACUGGGUACAUGAUUUACCUUAAUGUCAUUGUCAGCAAGUCGGAGUUCUUUCAAUUCUGUGCAAGACUUGAGCGAAGAACCAAUAAUCUGGACUUGGCAGUUUGAGAGAGAGAGCUGGAGCCAAUCUUGAUUAACAGCCUUAGCAACAGUCUUUCAAAAUAAUAGCUAACGGCAAUUAAUGACCAAAGCAUUGCUUACCUUUGUAAUAGCUUUCAUAUUGAGCAGAGAAUCGCCAAUUUUGCGAAUUGGAUUUCGAGAAAGAACUGCAUGAGAAACAAACAUUUAUCCCAAGAAUCAACUUAAAUUCCAAUAAUGCUUUGAUCUGAACACAGUAUCAUCAAUCACGAACAUGCAAAAUCAAAAAGAAUUGCACACAAGUUUGCUAUCUCCUCAAAAUCAAACAGGUUUGCUCUCUACUCAAAAGUCUUUCGACCAUGCCUUAACCAACCACUCCUUUAAACCAAAUCCUAGAACAAGUAAAAUUUAUAGAGUUAAAAAUUAUUGACUCUAAGAAAAAUGUAAUUGUUACUUCUCUAAGAAUUACAGCUCUUAUUCCUCUCCCAUUCUCGCCAAAGUUCUAUAUAGACAACACCACUUGAACAAACAUAGGCUAGAGCAUGUAAUGUCAAUCUACUAACAAACAUCAGCCAAGGAACAGAUUUUAUCAAACACAAUGAAGUGUGAACAUGAAGAAAUAAGAAUCUGUACCAAGAGAGUUCAAUUCCUUCAUCUGAUCAAGUUUGCAUAUCGAAACAAUCUCAUUGUCUGCACAACCACCCCACCCAACAAAAAAAAAGGUUAAAAAACGAACUGAUUUCCAUAUUUUAUAUCACCAACUUACAAAAAGGGCGCUGCAAUUAGGGUCUAAAUCUCACCAUUCAGAAUUAAAGCACGUAAGCUCACGACAGACAUCACCUCAUCCAUCGAUCUAAGCUUAUUUUUGCCCGCAUUCAACACCUGAAUUUCAAAGACAGAACAAGGUGAAUUUAAAUAAUCCAAUUAGCUCAUCAUUUUCAAACCUAAACUACUUCAAACAACUAGUUUAGAUCGAGCAAGUGUCCCAAUGGACAAUAAUAACAAACGGAUAAAAGAUUUCAACCAAAUCGCCAGUAACAAUAAGCAUCGGAACCUUCUCAUGGGAAAACAAGAAUCUCUCAUAAGCAACCAUUUAAAAGUGUAAAAAAUGUAAAAUAUCACGAACAAAGCAAGGGAAUGACACUUACAGUGAGCUUAGAGAGUCCUUCGAUUCCUUUUAAGCUUUGCAAUUUGUUUUGCACAACUGAUAGCCACUUCAAAUUCACGCAAUGCCUCAACCCCUUCAAAUAAAAUUAAAAAAAUAAUAAUUAAAUUUCAUGCCAAGAAAUGAUAAAGGCGUAAAUUUGUUACUGGGGUGUUGGGGAAAUGAAUGAAUGGUAGGCACCUCAAGAGAAGUGAGGUUGUUGGAGCUAAGGUCGAGUCUCUCCAAGUUGUUGAAAUCGGUCAAGCAAGAGACGUCGGAGAGAGCUUUGUGAGUGAGAGUCAGAGAUUUUAUGGAAUUGGGAUCGCCAGUCUUGUUGUCCUUCAAAAUUUGCUCGGUGCUCAGUCGUGUCAUGAUUUGGCUUCUUUGGUUUAGUCUUUGAGAAUUAGCAAAACCCUAGCUUUGAAUGUCUCUGCUUCCAGGGUUUAUCUCUAAACUCUCAGGCAGUGUUUGUUCCGUACUCGUUUGAGUCAACCGACACGUCGUUUCAAUGUAAUUUUUUUUUUUUCAAACCUGAAGGAGUUCAUAUUAGUGAAAUUUACAAAUAUGAUCCAAUUGUUAGGUCAACUCACAAAAAAUAGCUCAACUUUUCUCUCUCUCUCUCUCUUUUUUUUUUUUUUCUCGAGGCCGGAUCACAAUGCCCAAAAAUAUGUUUGUUAUAUAUUAUUCCUUUAAUUAGGUUUGAAUGGAAACAAAAAACCUCCCCGUUAAAUAUCAAACUCUUAACCCUUUUAUUACUAAUUGAACUUGAGUCAUUUUGAGCACAAAAGACAUUCACAAGCAACCGAUCUCUGCCUAAAAGCAUUUAUAUUAUAUUAACUGUAUACCGUUUAAAUAAUCUAUCACAUAUAGUCACUCAGUCAGAAACAAUCUCGUUUUUCCAUCUCUUUUUCACUAGCACCAAACACCAUUUUCUUCACUCAUUCAACUCUAAAUCAUUAUCAAACCCCAAUCGUAAAAAUAUUAGGUUUGUGUUUCGGUUUUUUUUUUCUAAAAUACAAAUUUAAUUUAGAGAAAAUGUUUGUAAAUUAUCUAAAACAGUUCUUCAUUAGCAAUGUAGGAUGGACUAAUCAAUGGAAAACUCUUAUUUUUUACCCUCUGAAACAAAGAAACAUAAAUUUUAAGUAGAGAUUGGACUGUGAAAUCAAUAGCCCUCUUGAAUAGAUGAGUCCUGAUCGAGUGACAUUGCAUCCUGGACCCCAAGUACAUAAUACAACAAACAUACAGGCACGGAAAAAUCUAGUAACAUCUUCUUACAAAGCAGCCAAAUUCUUCGAUAAAGCCAUCCAAAAAAUGACAGUACUUGUACCUCCAUCUUCUGCUGACAAGUAGAGGACCUAUGAAACACCAAAACCCCACUACAAAUCCAAGUGCCAAGCUUACAUACAACAACCAGUCCACUUCGUCUUCAUCUUCGUUCCCAUUUCCAUUUGGAUCUUCUGGUACAAGAGGAUUAUUCUCAUUACAAUUAGGAAGUGGAGCUCCGCAUAGAUUGUUGCCGGCAAAACAAGAUGCAUCGAAGCUUUGCAAUUGAGUGCUUGAAGGAAUUUUCCCAGUCAAGUGAUUGUUGGACAAGUUCAGGUGAUUUAAAAAUGACAAACUUGACAUACUUUGGGGAAUUUUACCAGAAAGUUGGUUCGCUGAGAAAUCGAGGGACUCAAUUGAUUUCAUAUCACCAAUUUUCUCAGGAAUUUUGCUGGUAAAAAAAUUGUGGGACAGAUUCAGUGAUUGCAAUCCUUUAAGAUUUGUCAGUUCCAUCGGUAUUUCUCCCGAGAAAUUAUUCUUCGAAAUGUCUAUGCUUCUUACCAAAUUCAGAAUGGAGUUAUAUUCAACCAUAGACCCUUUCGUCACAACUGAUGCAUCCACCACAACUUCACUCUCAUCCAUCAUUGCAAUGUAGGAUAUCGCAUUCCCUAGAAGAGAUGAGUCCGUCGUCGCUAUAGCAGUGAAGUUACCGAUGCAUCUGGGUAUAGUCCCUGAGAGAUUGUUAUAAGCAACAUCUAAAAUUUGUAAAGAAGUUAGACGACAAAGUUGAAUCGGCAAAUCGCCAUGGAACUUGUUUGAUCGAAGAAUGAGAAUCGACAAUCCAGAAAAUCUUUCUCCCAUCCAUGUUGGAAUAUUCCCGACAAACUCGUUUUCGCCCAUGUCAAGAGAUACCAAACUUGAACAAUUUUGAAAUGACUCGGGAAUGACUCCAGAGAAUCUAUUAUUGCGCAGGUUCAAUGUCAAAAGAGAACUUAAAGUUCCAAUUGAGGUCGGAAGACUACCAGUAAGGUUAUUGUUACCUAAAUUCAGCAUACCCAAGCCAGGCCAAUUCAUCCAACAAUCAGGUAUAUCCCCAGAAAAGUUAUUUUAAGUAAUUUUUCGAGAGUUGGAGAUAAGAAGUGCUCUUUAACCCAUUACAUAUUAAAUGAAAAAUGGACCCCGAAAAACCAUAUGCUAGAUGGGGGACGUAGAAGAGGCGAUGGACGGUAACGAAAAUCUAAAUUUGGAAUCUCACCGUAGAUUUGGUUGCUAGAGAGAUUCAAAUAUAUGUAUUGGAAAAUGGAAUUCCAAAACCAACGAGGAAUAGUUUCUGAAAUUCUUGUGUUGGAUAUGUCCAAAAAAGACAAAUGCUUUUGUGAAUGAAGCCACGAUGGAAAAUGAGGCCCUAAAUGACAUGACCUCAAUUUCAAUGUAUCGAGUUGAAAAGGAGGAACCCAGUUCGGAUUGACUUGCAAGAUUAGCGGGUUACCAGAUGUAGAAAAUGAAGUCAGUUUUGUUAGAUUGACAAAAUGAUUUUCAGAAAGUGUUCCACUCAUCCUAUUGUUGGACAAAUCUAGAUAUUCUAAAUGUGAAAAUUUUCCCAAAGACAAUGGAAUAGAACCAUUCAACAAGUUGUUGGACAAAUCUAGGUAUUCUAAGUUUAAAAUUUGUCCUACAGACAAUGGAAUGGAACCAUUCAGCCUGUUUUUGGAAAGAUCUAGAUAUGUCAAAUAUGUAAGUUCUCCUAAAGCAGAUGGAAGUGGACCUGAAAGAGAGUUGUUACGUAGUCGAAGUCUGUUCAAACUUUUAAAUUGCCCAAGUUGAUUUGUCAAGUGACCUGAAAAUUGACAACUCCUCAAAACUAGUGACUCUAGUGCAUGUGCACCGCAUGCAGAGAAAAUAUCUAAAACUUCUGAUAAGUCUUGACUCAAUUUGACAAAUGACAGAUCGAUUGAUGUCAACUUACAAAGCCGUACAAACGAUGUUGGAAUCUUCCCUGCAAGAUCAUAAUUUAAGGAAAGGUCGAGAGUUUUGAUAGAAGUCAAGUUUUCUAGACCCAUCGAUGAAAUUGUGCCUAGCAAGGAAUUAUGUUGAAGAGAAAGGAACUCAAUAUCACUAAGCUUAGACAACCAACCAGGUAUUGCAGAAUUGAAUUCAUUAUAAGAUAAAUCAAGAUGUCUAAGAAACGUCAAGUUUCCUAGUCCGAUGGGGAUUUUACCUUGAAAUUGAUUACCGCUUAGAUCGAAAAAGACUAAAUUAUGAAGACCAAAAACCCAACUGCUAAAUUGAAACAAAGAGUUAUUCAAUUGGUUUUUGGAAAGAUCGAGGGUCUUAAGGGAGGAAAAAUUAGCAGAGGAUGACGGAGGAAAGUGAUGGAGUUCACAGUAGGACAACUUUAGUACUUUUAAAGAAGAGAGUGAGUUUGUGACAAGUAACCAAUCAGUGGCUUUGCUAAGGUCAGCUUCACUCAGAUCGAGGUGCUCUAGCAAAGAAAGACCAGAUAGCCAUGAAAAACUUUCAACUUGUGACUCAUAAUUCUCACUGAGAUCAAGAUAUUGAAGAUUAGAGAGAUUUCCAAGUUGGUAAGGAAUCACUCCUGCAAAUUUGGCUCUAGAGAGAUUCAGGUAUCUAAGGUUCUUAAGAGAACCAAGAUAUUUGGGAAUUUGAAUUCCAUGGAAAUCAUUUCCGCUUAAGUCCAAGUGAAUCAAAUGCUUUAAGUCAACCAAAGAGGGAUUUAUCUUACCAGCCAGCUUUGGCCCCGUGCCGUUAUUAGGAUUAGGAUUUCCAAGGUUGAGCUGAAGGACAUGGCCAGUGAAGUUGUUACAAACAACACCAUCCCAUGCACAGCAAUCUUCAUCACGAAUAUUCCAAGAGGCAAGACGGCUGGAAGGAUCUUUGAGAUCUUGUUUCAACUUUAGAAGUGCUUCUCUCUCACUGUCUACACAACCCACGCAAGGGUUGCCAUUGCAGAAGCUGAUGUUGAUCAUAGUAGCUAUAAAAAAUAAGUCAAGGAAAACAAGGGCAACAGAAACACUCAUGAUUGUUGAUUUCAUCGCUGUGGAUAGAAAUUUAAUUAAUGAUAAGAAAUGGUAGGUUGCUUAUGAGAAAGUUAUCAUUUUGAAUGAUAUUUAUAAUGUCCUCUGUUUGCCCACCUGAUAUGUCCACGAUGUCCUCAGUUUGCCCGUUUGAUGAUUUGGGUUCAAUCUAAUUUGGAAUACGAUGAUAAUCAAGUCUUCGAGAAAAACUCAACUCUUCGAGGUCAUUAAUUAAUUAACUUCUAUGGGUUCCUCUGGGUGGACUUGUAAUUUACAUUAUUAGAGUGAACAAAUGUCACACUCGUGUCAUUAAGCCACUUAACAUAGUUAAUUUUGAACAAAAGUUGUUUACUUGCCGGCUUCAUGCAAAUAUCAACAGACGAUACGCUUGAAGUAUGAUAUUCAAGUUCGUGUCGAUCUUUGGAUUAGUUUUCUUUUAUUAUUAUUAUUUAGCCGGCAACCUAACCCCACUCACCCUUUUGAGCUGACUCCAAGCUCUAAAUCUCUUAUUUUCAUCACAACUGCUUUACUAACUCAAUUAGUUAGCAGCCACAUAAUGUGAAUGAUAAUGAGCUAAUUUGUCCCACUAUUUUUUUUCUUUUUUUAUGUGCUAGCUUUGGUUUGGACCAUUGAACGAAUAUUUUCAGUCACACACUUUUCUUUUAACUCGGCUAUUUUGAAGUAAUUUAUAUGUAAAACAGAACUUGGACGUCCUCAGGACGUGCCAGUGUAUAGAAGUAGUGAUAUUGAAGGGAAAAAAAAAGGUAAUUUAUACGUCGAAGUCAAGAGCCGGCAUCUACAAUUUUUUCACCGUUCAUUUCAAAUGACUAGCUAGUUUAUCCCAAUGAAUACUGAAUUUGAAUAUAUUUAUAAUAAUCAUUGGGACAAGUUAAGCAGCCUCAAUUUUAUCGACAAUUUUUACACUAAUUUGAACCUUUUGAUUAAGAAAGAAUGAACGGUCGACAUUACAAUUCAAUUACUUUCAUUAAUAAUAUUGUUCGCUCUCCUUUAAUAGUUCCUUUCAACAUAUUAACAGUACAUUUUUCUCCCUCAUUGCCUUUUCUUCUAUUUUCUUUGUUUUUGAACUGUUGUGCGCAAGUUGGUGUCGACUUUGGGGAAUCGAUAAUGAUCUAACUUACCCUCUUUCUUUUUAAGUUUGUAGGGUGGUCGGGCAAUUGUAACUUUAAAUCUAUAUUAUUAAGUGUUGGAUAAAAACUUAGUUAAUUUUAUUUCACAUUUAUAUGAUGAAAAAUUUAUAAUUAUCUUUAUUAUUUUUAUCAAAAUUAUUAUUUAAAAAUUAUUUUCACUAUACGCUAUUAACUUUUAUUUCAUAAUUACAUUUUAUUUUUUACACCGUCUCAAUACCAAACAAAACCUCGAUGUACUAUUGACAUUAGGUAUGCAUGGUUCGCAGGCCAUAAGACUUUACCCAUUGUAACGUAGGAUUUUACGGACUAAAAGUAAGCUGUCUAAUUUUAUUAAGAAUCGUGAUUCUUAAAAAAAGUAACUCCAUGAUCAACAUCUCUAGAAUCAUUUAGAUUUUGGAUGACCAUCUUUGUUUUGAUCAGGCACAAGGCCUCCAGAGUUCUUUGCAUCAUCAAUAGCAUCAAGCUCCCCUUCCCUCUCUUUCUAUUCUCACGUACCACUUUCUUCCCAGCUGCAAAUCAAUUUUGCUCUGCAGAAUUUCUUUCAUUGAGAGUUUGUCAUUUGUUUCUCUAAAGCUAUCUCUUUUCGAUUCCUUCUGAACUUUUAUCUUGUCAUCAGCACUUUGAGGAAUCAUUAACCUUAUCAACAGCAUCGUCCUUCUCAUUUUUGGUGUUUUUAUCUAUUGGUCUAACGUUGAAUAUAUGCAAGUUUGGCAAUAGAUUUUUCACCUGCUAUGACAUUGAUUCUAGAUUAGUCCUGCUAGGAGCACAAAUCUACACUUGAAAAACCAUCAUUACCUUCUUUGCCAAUUUAUCAUAUUUAGCUACAGUGUUUCCUUGUAGAUUGAGGAUUAACUAAUGAAUUUAGCACUUGCCAUUCAAGCAUGUUGCCAUCAUACAUGAUAAGAAAGUAUGUAUGUAGAAAAAAAAAUUAAGGGAGAAAUAUAAGAGAAAAAAUUUUCAUGCUUCACCUCAAUUCUGAGAUCUUGCUAUCAAAUUCAGAGAUUGAGAUGGAGAAAAACAACAUAAGAAAUGAACAAGAUAUCAGUCACAAUAAUAACAAAUAAAAAAUAUAAUGAAUUUGAGGACAGCUUGCUAUCAAUAAAAUGACCACUGUGAACAUUGUUUACCUUUUUGUCAUUGUGAGCAAGUCGGGGUUCUUGUAAUUCAGUGCAAUACUUCAGUGACGAAGCAAUAAUCUGAACUUGGCAACUUGAGAGAUAGAAUUGGAUCCAAUUUAGAUUAACAGCCUUCGCAACAGUCUUUCAAAAUAUUAGCUAAAGACAAUUAAUGGUCAAAGCAUUGCUUAUCUUUGUAAUAGAUUUCAUAUUGAGCAGAGAAUCGCCGAUUUCGCAAAUUGGAUUUCGAGAAAGAACUGCAGGAGAAUCCAAAAUGCCGAAGAGCAUGAUUCAAGUACACCAUCGUCUAAAUGGCAAAACAAACAUUUAUCCCAAAAACUGACUUAAAUUCCACUAAUGACUUCUUUUACUGAUCUGAGAGCAAAGUAUCAUCAGUGAAAAUAUGUAAAAUCAAAAGGAAUCGCACACGAGUUUACAAUAUCCUCAAUCAAACGUAUAGCGGGAAUAGUAGAGUCAAUGUUAUUGUCAGACUCUAUAUAUAUCUAUAUAUAUUUUGAGGUGUCAAUGCCCUUAUUUUUUAUUUUUUAAUACGGACACGUUGUUAAAUCUUACAAUUAAUAGUGUUUUAAUUUUAUUGAAUUACAUAGUUUAAUAGUGUGUUCUCAUGAAAAAAAUUGAGGGCGUCCACACUAAAGAAGGAUCAUAUAUAUAUAUAUAUAUAGAGAGAGAGAGAGAGAAAUUUUCCAAUCUAAUAUUUUAAAGUGCAGGGAAAUUUGAAAAAACUUUAAAACUCUGCGGUUUUAAAAGUGUUAAAGCUUUUCUGAACUUUUCUAAACUUUAAAAUUCUGGACCAAAAAACUACUACUACACACACACACACACAAGGGGCAUGUGUGUUAUACUUUUGGACAGUUCAAACAAUUUACCACACACUCAUAAACAAUCUAUUUUUUCCACCUUUUUUCAUUUACAUCAAACACCAACUUUACCACUCAUUCAAGUCUAAAUCGUUAUCAAACAGCAAAAUUUUUAGGUAUAUUUGGAAUGUUAUGAGAUUUUUCGGAUACUAAGAGUAAUUUUCUAAUCAUAUUUCAUUCGUCUAUUUUCAAGUAAAGCAAGUACAAGUCAUUAACCUUAAUAGAGACCCUCGUUUGGUAUAUGCGGGAUAUGAUAUUUGACAUGUACUCACUCCUAAAUUUAGUACACAGAAAUGAAAAAUAACAAAACGUGUAUAGAUAAAAUAUGAAGAGUCUGGAGAUCUAGACGCAAGUAGCCGGGAUUUGCUUUCCGAAGAGAGUUGGUUUGACAUUGGAACACAAAGAUGUCGUUUCAGGACCCUCAACCUUAACAUUAACCCCAUUGUACACCAAGUUUAUAUUCCCAAUCUCAAUAUUUUGGCAUGGAAUCUUUUGGCUACACACAAGACUUACGGCAACCUUGGUAGCUGAAGUGCCACGGAUGUUAUUGAAUCUCACAUUGCUGAUCUUCACUUGCGAAGGAACCUGUAAAAUAUUAACGGCAGGGCGUGUAAUCAUUAGCUGUCAAAUAUAACUGAGCGGUCUGCUUUAAAAAUUAAGCUGAAGCAUAAUAGUUUGAGAGAUGAAUGAAUGUUCAUGUACCUUUAUGUUACAUUUAUUAUAUGGGCAAUACAGUUGAUCUAUGACGAUGCGAUUUUCCACAUUGUUCGUGACAAUGUCUUCAAAAGCGAAGUUGGAAGCGAUUCCAACGUGAGAAUCAGGUCAUGUUUUGACUCUAACCCCGUUACUUGUGCCUGUGAAGGUACAGUUCCUUACAGUCAAUCCAACAACUUCUUCAUCUUUUGUAUCCUUUCCCAGGCGACCAACACUGAUACCAUGUCCUGGUCCGAAAAAAACGUCAGAUACUAAAAUAUUUUUACUGCCUUGACCAAGACAGACACAGUCAUCACCGGUGGCUAUAACUGAAUGUGAUAUCUCAAUCCCAUUUGAUCUUCCAAUAUGAAUUCCGUUAGUAUUAGGACUAUCCGCGUGUGCUGUGAUUUUGAGGUCAUUUAUCUUCAGGUUGUAGCAACCCAAAAUGUUAAUGUGGAAGUAUUUGCUACCAACAGAUUUUAUCCCAGUAAUUGUUGAGUCGUUCAGGAAAUUGAAUCGCAUGGACUGUCAAUUAGACACCAAAGCAAUAUUAACUAAUUAUUUUAACCCUGUUUUCAUUAGCAGGUUUACAAAAAUAAAACAAAAACAAAAAACAAAACAAAAAACAUAGAGAACAUUGUUAACAAGACUUACUGUGGGAAGCUGGCAAUCGGAGUUUUUGUGGCAUUGAUUUAGUGGCCAUGCAGUUUCGCCUUGGCCGUGGAAUGUUCCUUCGCCGGAGAGAGUGAAGUGUCUGAGAUAUUGAAAGGUGAUCCAGCUUUGUUUAUCGGGUAGUUUUGAUAGGCCGGUUGGUGCCUGGACAAGCCCUUGAAGUUGAAAAGAAAUUGGAGCUUUGCAUGGACCUUCAAGUUCGACAAAAUUCGACAAGUAUUUUCCCGGAGUUACCAAUACCGUGCUUUCUAUUCCAUCCCAGUUGCAAGCUUCUCUCCAAGCAGUACCAAAAGCCUAUAUUAAAUUGACAAGAACCAAAUACUUACUAUUUUUAAUUAGUAAAGCGACUACGUUUUCAAAUAAGGCUUUCAUUUCGUGUUGUUGUUGAGCAGCUGUGGCUAUUAAGCUGCGGAUCUUAUUUUCUUACCUUACUAUCAUCCUUAAUGCCAUCGGCCGCGGCACCAAAGUCCUUGACGUUGAAAACUCUGUUGGUUGCAUCGAUACCUUUUACCGAAGUAAUGAACAACACUAGUAGUGAAAAUGCUUGCUGGGAGUAGGAGCUGAAACCCAUUUUAUGACUGAUUGAAGUGAAAGUAUUGUAUAUUCCGAUAAAUUUGAGUAAACUUUUUUAUUUUAUUUUAUGUUUUUUAAUGGUAGAUGGUAGAUCGAUCAUUGUAGAGAAAUUUAUAAGGUAGUGCGAGUGCAGUUCCUUCACCAAUUUUGAAUCUUCUAUUUAGGAUUUUAGGCUUUUAAAAAAAAAGAAACAACAUGUCUUGUUUUAGCAUUACUUUGGGAGUAACUUCCUAAUAAUAUAAUGUUGGCUGUAAAUUGUUUCAUUGGUCCAUUGAUUUCUUCGUUAUAGUAACUUUCACUGUCCUGUUUUUAUCAAAUUCUACAACUUGCAUAUCUCACAAUCCAAUUCUCGCUUUAUACGGUUACCAUCUCAGGGACAAUAAUAUCUUUGAUCAUAUAUCUCUAGCCAGGUCUCCGAAUUUUUCUUUAUGAAAUAAGUGAACCGAUAGCCGCUAGUUACUCCAAUUUCUAUAAGGAUUUUGUUCAAUGUAGUAACAAUUUAUAAAUAAUCUUUCAUGCAUUAUAACUAGAAAUUACAACUAAAAAUUAAAAAAAAAAUUAAAGAAUUGAAACGGAUUUGUAGUGUUCAUCAUUUCUCUGUGACGAGGCUUUUACUAUCUUUUACCACACAUGUGUUUAUUGAUUAGAAAAAUUAGUUACAUAUAAUUUUUAUUUUUGAAACCUUGUAAUUCAACUUAACUAGGAUUUUGUAUCUUGUACUUUUCCAACUUGGGUUCCGGCAACUUAAUAUUCGGAGUCCCAGUAGCACAAAGUAUUCAUUCAUAAUCAUUAACACAAGUCAGUCCACACAUAUCGUUAUACUGAUCAUCGUCUAAAGGUCUAGCUAAAUUAUGUAUUUAAUUAACUCCCUCUGUAGAUACUUCGAUUUUGGUAUCCUGGAUUUUGAUUUCGGUUGAUCUUGAAGAUGGCGGAUAAACAAUCAACAGCAACCAGCAGUAAUGCAUUGAGGAUCAACUUUGUAUCAGAAGAACAAUUGGAUGAAGCCAAAAAGACAAGAGGCAAAAGAGUUGAAGACGGGACAGCACAGAGAGACAGGCCUAUUCACGAGAUACUGAACGAGAACAAAGCCAAAAAGAAAAAGGAACUCGAGGACCGCCGGAAGCACAAUCCUCCGAAAUCCUUGGACGAAGACGAGUCCCAGUUUCUUGACGGAUGGGAGUCGUAUAAGAAGGAAAAAAAGCGGCGGCUUGCUGACGAAGAGGCCAUGGAGCUUCGGCGUUCCAGGGCAGCCGAGGCAUCACAAUGUGUUGCUUCCAAGGAAACAUUAACAAGCCAUGAUGAUGAUGCUCAUCAACAGAGAUUGAUUAUUGGGAAGAAGAAUCCAGCGUCUUGUCCCUUGAGCUCGAUUAUGAAAGUGGUGCCGCUGGCAAAGAAACCCAAGAAAGAUUUUCAAAGUGUAGCAGCAGAAUCUUCUUCAGGUACGUUGGAAAAGAUUGAUGCAGCUGAAAAAUUUCCCAAACCUGCAAUGCUAAAAAGAAAUAGGGGUGAUGCUGAUCAUAAUAAAUCCCCUGUAACAAUAAGUCUGGUUAUUACUAUAGUGAUAGCGAAGAUGAUGAUUGAGUACUAUAGUAUUUGUUUAUAUUGUUGUUAUUUCAGGAAAGCUUUGAUUUAUUUAUGCCUUCUGUUGUUCUUCUCACAAUCAAUUAGAAAUACUAGUCCAUACUUAACCUUUUUUUUUUUUUACUAUAUUGCAAUCAAAGGAUGGCUGAUAUUUAUAAUCAAAUAAUUCCUGAAAUUAUUCUACAUUAAAUCUAUGAAACACAACCAAAAUUUUCUUUUCACUAAUAGUAGAGAAAUAUCUAUUCUACUCACAUUUUGUGAGAAAAGGACUAACUCCACCCAACUUGUUCAUUAAAAAACUCAAUUAAGUACUUACUUUUUUUUUUCUCUGGCAAGUGACAAGUAAGUCCACAUGGAUUGUAUUUACCAUUUUGACGCAUUUUCUUUUUGCUAUAUUGAAAACAUUAAUUUCGGAUCACUCUUUUGUGGGAUGUUGAUCUUCAAAAUAUAUUACAAAUUAUUGUAAAUCUCAACUUACCUUCUAUUUUUCUAAAGAAGAUAAAAAAAUUUCAUCAAUCUACCCUCAUUUUUCAGUUAUCUUUUGAAUAAAAAUGAGAGUAAGUUGAAAUUUAUAAUAGUUUGGGGGUGUUUUAAAAUUUUUACUUCACAAGGGGAUAUUUCAAAAUUAGUUUGUAUUGAAAAUAGUAAUAAAGCACUUUUUAAUUAUUUGUAAGAUCUCUAAAGAUUUCAUCCUAAGUAAUAUGGUGGCAUCCAUCCAUUAGAUGGUAGAAAUGUGAAAUAAGAUUUUACAUUCUAAUGGAUGAAUGACAUAUAUCAAGAACUAAUACUAAAGAUCAAUAAAUAAAAUAAAAUUACGAAAGAAAGUUAUUCACAUUUUUCUCACUUUUGCUGAAAUAUUACACCAUGAUGCAAGCCGAAAUAAAUUGUCAAAAGUUAUAACAAUCAUAAAAUUAUUAGCCAGCAUAAGGUGAUUUAUUAAUUUGGGGUGUUUAUGAGUUCAAAUGUUGAAUGAGUAACAUAAAUGGUAUUGUUGGUAUUAAGCGAACCUCAAGGAUUCCCUUGAAAUUAUCCCCAAUAAUUUAUUAUUAUGAAUAAAAAAUAGCGAGCUUCCAGUGCUGGUGCUGUACAAGAGAAUGAGAUAACGCCUCUUUUGCUCCUAAUCAUUCAGCAUCAAACAAGAGUGCAGUGACGCGGUCUCUGUCUCACAGAGCACAAAUAUCCUUCAUCUUCAAACAAACAAUUAGCCAAGCAAGAAGCCAAAAAAGCCCAAUAAAAAAUGGAAGCUCUUUCAAGAAUUAGCUUCUUAUCAAACUACACUCGCUCUUAUUUCCCAAUAUUCUCUCCACUUCCUCAAACCCAGAAGCCGCUUUCCAAGAAAACAUCACCAUCUUCUCUCUUAAGAACAAGCACUCGUCCAGGUCAGCCACCAUCCUUUGCCCUUUUUUGUGACGCUUCCUAUGCUUGCCACUGAAUUCCCAUUUCAGCUUUUGUGUUUUUAUUUUAUCCUUAUUUGACUUCUUAGUGAGUGAAGUUGCUGAAGAGGAUAUUCUGCAAAUGUUCUUUAAAGAUAGAGAACUGAAUGGAGAUUUUAUUUCCAAAGCUUCUGAUAUGUUUUAGCUGAAGGGGGCUUCGAAAUUCGUUGGCUCUGAUGCUGAUACUGGCAAAUUUGCUAACAAUUCUGAACAAGCUCACCAGGUAGCUUUCUUGAUUUUGAUUCAUAAGAAUGUAUUGUAUUCUUUUUUUCGGCAAUUUCCAGUUUUAAUCUCUCUUCGUGUCCCCUGUGGUGGUGUAGAAGUAUGAUAAUUUCAAACAUUUCUGGUUUAUGGAGCAUCUUUGUCAGUACUGUUCGUGAUUCUUGGAGUCUCUUAAGUUCUGACUUUGGAGUAUGGACAGUGGAAUUGAUUCUACAACUAACAAUGGACCAGUUUAGCUGUUUCAAUGAGAAAUCUUCUAAAAUUGCUUAUUUAUUUAGUUUUUUGAAUAUCAAAUAAGAAGUUACUGAAGGAUAUAAUUAUGCCAAGUACAAAAAUAGCAAAUUGAUUCAUUCGAUAUCUUGAAGGAUUUUAAAACUUAGCCAAGCCUGUAUUCUGUUGGAAUUAGCAGUAGCAUGUGUACUCUCAUUCCUAGGCUUUUAUAAGACAUAAAUUACAGCCUGAGGUGCAGCUCCUAAUUACAAUUGAGGCUUAGACUGGGGUAGCACUGCUGUUUAUAGAAGGAGGACUUAUUCGUUCCCAGCAUUGUGAAAAGGUUCCAUUGAAAUUUGAGGCAGUUGACAAUGCAGAUGUCUUAUUCUGAUCUGUCCUAUGUCACCUCUUUAGCAUUAUACUGUGGCAUCAACUCCAUUCUUGACGCAUUUAUGAAUUCAAAGUGCAUACAUAUCUCCAUGCUGGUUUCAGCUACUCUCUGCUUUAAAGUUCCUUAAUUUAAUUGCUAAGUAUAACUGUAUAACAUUCUGUUCGUUCUGUGUCAUUCUGUUCGUUUUUAUUCUGGUGUCUUAGAUGAUUUGUUGUGCUUCUGCUGUCAUUGAUGGUAUGUAUAUUGUAGGUCAUAGAAAGUGACAAUGAUGAUGGAUUUUUGAAACUCUCGAAAACCCGUGAGUGGCUAUUAGGUGACAACUCUGCACCAAUCAAUAAGAAACCUUCUGCUAAGGUAUGCAUUUUGUUGGCUAUCAUUAAAUUAUAAUGAGCUUGCUUGAAAACACUCUCUCCCAUCUCUCCAUCCUCCUUCCCUCCUUUUCUCCCCAUUUCAGCAAAGCAGGGGAAUUUGUUUUAAGUUUUAUAUCUGCAAUUUCUUACUGCUAACCGAUGCAUGUAAAUACAGGCUUUGCAGGAUGACAGUGAAAGAAGGAAGAGACUGAACUUUCUUAAAUAUGAAGCUGUAUGAUACUUCUCUUGAAAUUAGAAUUUCUCAUGGUUAGUUGGUUGUUGAUGUGAUGUCAAUGCCUGAAAUUGGGAUCUUUCUGUUCGGUUCUAAUUCCACUAUUUCUUUUAAAAAGUUAGAUUCUCUUACAUUUGAAAGUUAAAUUGUUUGUUGUUAUCUAACUAACUUAGAAAGAGCUGAUUAAUAAAUGAACAUAUUGUAUAAGUACGUGCAAGGGUGGACUGGUUUUUCUCCUUUUGGUUCUAGGGGUAUGAUUUCAUUAUACUUAUAUCUGUAGCUUUAAUCUUGCAAGCUGAAUGAGCUGAUGUUCACCAUGUGACUCUGUUUUGAUUAAAGGUUGUUUAUAUAUUCUUCUGUUAGCAAAUGGCGCUUUGAGAGAUGUCUGUUUGCAAAGGAAGCUGUAAAUUUGGUUACUUAACCUUCUGUUUUGAAACCAUAUUUCUCCAAUUCAAUUCCCAGGUAACUGGGAUAGGACUUAAUAGAUUCAGUUUUAUGUUAAAGUUGGUAAAUGUUAAUAGAACUAAGGGUUCACAGAUUUGGUAUGGUACCUGUAUGCUUUUAUUUUUCUAUUUGUAUUGGUUAGAUGUGGAGUGGUAACAUAAUAGGGAAAUGGAGCUAGUUUGAUCAAGUUGUCUUGUAUUUGGAUUUUCUGAUGUGUUACCUGGAUUAUUAGAAAAUUGUAUUUAUGCUUCUUGUUAUAGCACGAUUGUUGUUAUGUUUGAUUUACAUGCCUUGCAGACAAGGUACAUGUUAGACUCUGUAGUCUCUGCUCUUUUCUCUCUGCUCAAACUUUUAGGUUGUGUGAUAAAUUAACAAUGUUAGUACAAUGUUAGUACCUAAAGGCUUGCUUCUGCGCCAUAGUACUACCAAAGUUGUCUAAGAUGCUGGUUUUUGUACUUCGAUCUUGCAGCUCAAGAGUGAACUGAUGCUUUUGUCAGUUGGCAUUGGAACUGCAUAUAGUGGUUAUUGUUUGAUAAUGCUCUCAGUCCAGGUAAUAUCUUGACAGAAAUUUAAAGCACAGUGUUUAAAGUUUAAAAAAUUUUUAAUAUCAGACCUUUCUCUAGCUUAUUUAAUAGAAGUCUGGAAUUUUGCACUCUGUUAUUUUGCUGAAAGAUAUGAUUGGAAAUAAAUAUGAGGAUCUGGUGACAACGGCUCUAAACUACUUUUUGAUUAUAUUUUCAUCUAUUUUCAGUAGUUGACUGUACAAAUUGCGACAGAGUAGGCAAAUUUUUUUUUUCUCUCUCCCUAUUCUACUUUAUUGAAUGGAUUCAUGUACUUUCUUUAAAUGUAAAGUAAGAUAUUCGUGAAAUAUUGUAAAUUUUGGUUUUAUAUAGAAAUGACCUUAUUAAUUUUAUAGGUGGCUUUUAGCUAUAUGGUUGGGGUUCUUUUCAGGUAAGCUGAUCUUUUAUUUUUCAUUAUUUAUAUAUAGUGUUUUUUGAUAGAAAACAUAGAAACUUGUAUUGAGAAUAAAAACAUGUACAGAAAGUGAACAAGGAGUCCGCAAAUAAAGAACCCCUAAAGAUCACAAAAAGUCCAUGCAGUUCAAUGCUGACCAGAUGACCAAAAAAGUAUAGGAUCUAUAUGAAUAAAUGAUCUCACAACAAAAACAAGCUCAAAAGCACAGAAUUACGCCAACACCCCUUACAGUUUAGAUGAAUGAAGAAUAAAGAAGAAUCUUGAAAUUCCUUUGUUAAUGAUGCCCAAAGAAAAGCUAGUAAUCCCACUCUUUCCCACAAAAAGAUGAUGUCUUCCUCAGAAUCUUAAAAACAAUCUUUAAUUUCUUUAAAGCCAAAUCACCCAAAAAGUGGCCAGAACUGAACAUUUCCAUGACACUCUAGCUUUUUUACCUUUCCCAAAAGCAUCAAUAAUCUCUGAAAGCUGAGAAAUGCUAGAAGCCGGAAUCACUCAAGAAAUUCUAGCUGCCUGAAACAAUGAACGGCAUUGUGACAAUGCAAAAACAAAUGAUCUGCUCUUUUGCUAUUUCUCUUGCACAUGACACACCAAGAAGGACAAGCACACAUUAUGAUUCCAUCUUUGAAUGGCAUAGUUUACCUAGAGCCAAGGACCAAACAAAAAGUGGAACUUUACUAGGGUCUUUAGCAUUCCAAAUCACUGGGUAAGUUGAUCUAUUUUAACUAAGGAUAAUAUUUGUCAAAUAAUACCUUGAUGAGCCAGUUUUCAAAAUCAAAGCUCAGUGCUGAGUCCUAGAUUUUGAGCUACGACUCAAAAGGAAGGUUUAUGAAUAAUAACAAUACUAAGUACUGCAAUCAGUUGUCGAAAAGAAUGGUAGAUUCUGCUGUUUCAGUUACUUUGACAGAAAACUUUUUCAUCCAAAUUUUUACUUGCCAAUAAUGUAAAAAUAAGUGUAUAACGAUAUUAUAAUGCAAGGAAACCAUGAUAAUGUGAUAUGCAAAGUUUCUAUAGAAAAUUACUGUUAGUCAUCCACAGGAGUUUUUGGCCUAAAAAAUCAAUAGCUGGAGAAAUGGCUCAUGGGGUUGAUGUCUUCUAUCAAAUAUUCUUGAUUUAGUGAACUCCCUUGAAUGUUUUCGCUGUGGAGGAAUUAUCUUUGUGUGGUCUAAUUGGUACUCCAAAUAUCUCAGAAAAUUUAAAGAUAUCGCUCAUUUUCUAGUUUAGGGGAGUAAAAAACUCCGAGUAGUGCUUUUAGCACAUUUUUUGAUAGAAAACCGAAAAAAGGUUUAGUAACAGCAGGAGACCAUCUGUUCGUAUUACUGAUCCUAAUUCUGAUAGUUUAAUAAACCUCAUUUCCAGUGCAGUUGCUUGUACCUUCAGCUCUUAUACCAGCAUGCAGACCGGCUGUCCAAGGACAUGGUUCCUCAGAUUUUCAUGCGAAAGAAGUCCAAGAAGUACAUAUUAAAGCUUCUGCAUUUUUUUUUUCUUCCCCUAAUGGCGCCGUUGUAGCUAAGUUAUUCUCUGUCUCCCCCUUGAUUAAGCAAACAUUUCCUUUUCUUUUGUAGAAUUGGAAUUAGAAGUGAGGACCUUAAGGACUUCUUAGAGAGAUCAAUCAAGGGAAGUAGCCUUGCUCUUUCGUCUCCAAGGCUUGUGAUCCCGGUUACAAUAUAUGGUUUGUGGGUUCUGUCUCAUCGGUAUUUAGCCAAUGACUUCUUUGAUUUCCAGGUAGCAAUUAAAAGAACUUUUAUUGUUGUCUUCAGCUGUUUGUAUAAAUUUUCAAAUUAAUCAUGAAGCCCUCAAACUAUUAACAUAAGUUGUGUUUAUUAAUUUGCCCAUUGGUUCCUGUUUAUUGCAGAUUGUUCCAGCCAUGGUUGGCAUGUUUGUAUAUAAGGCUGCUGCUCUUGUUCAAGUUUACAGAGACAACGAAGACUUGCAAUUAGUUUUUCCAGAAAAUGAGGAAGGUUCAAGUGACUGAAAUUAUCCAUAUUAGCUCUUGGAGUAUUUCAUUUUGAUUCUGAAAUAUUUUGAAGCGGAAGGCGUUCCCAAAGACUAAUUUCUGCAGGCUACCAUCAAGCUUCUAGUGGAAAAAGCACCCCAAAAAUCUAAGUGGAAUGAUUCAUUUUCCCGAGUGGCUCUAUAGGCAAAGUUGACUGGUUAAAGUCGAACUUCAGAGACUUGUAGGGAACUGUCAGGCAUCUCUUCCAAACUCCAACUUUUAUCCAAUCUUUUUAUUGACAUGAGAUAAUGACUGCCCAAAAAAAUUGUUCUGAUGGAUGAUAUAGAACCAUCUGAGUUUGUAAUGCUUUCACGGUUUUUGUUUGCUUUAACUAUGUAGUUUGUACUCAAAAUCAUGUAUCAUUUAGGAAGGGAAUGAUUGCAGUGUUUGUAGCAAAACUCGAAUCAAAAUAGAAGAUUAUAAUGCUUGUUCAAGAUGCUUUUCUUUCCUUUUUUUUUUUUUUGACAUAAAAGGAAGUCUUGCUAAAUAAUAGGUUUGUAAACAAUCCCAAACUGUUCUUGAUAAGCAAUACAGGAUGAAUAUGGAUCGAUUUAUUAGAAUAGCUCUCUGAUUUAGCGUAAAAUGUGUCUAAUUUUAGAGGGUCCAAUCUUGCCACUUUAUUGUAUAAUACUUCAUUUCUUGUUUAGAGGACAUUAAACAACAAUUUAAUAGAAAAAGCAUAAAACAAACACUGAUAAACAUGAAAAACUCUAGUAACAUUUUCUUACAGAGCAUCCAAAUCUAUCGACGCAGCCAUCCAAGAAAUAACAGUAUUUGUACCUCCAUCUUCUGUUGAUAAGCAAAGGGCCCAUGAAACACCAAAAACCCAACACAAAUCCAAGUGCCAUGCUUACAUACAACAACCAGUCAACUUCAUCUUCAUCUUCGUUUCCAUUUUCAUUUCGAUCUUCAGGUACAAGAGCAUUCUUCUCGGGACAAUUAGGAAGUGGAGCUCCGCAGAGAUUGUUCCCGGCAAAACUGGAUGCAUCCAUGCUUUGCAAUUGAGUGCUUGAAGGAAUUUUCCCAGUCAAGUUAUUGUAGGAUAGAUUCAAGUGAUUCAGAAAUGAUAAACUUGACAUACUUUGAGGAACUUUACCAGACAGUUGGUUCAUUGAGAAAUCGAGGGAUUCAAUUGAUCUCAUAUUUCCAAUAUUCUCUGGAAUUUUUCCCGUAAAAAGGUUGUGGGAAAAAUUUAAUGACUGCAAUCCCAUAAGAUUUGUCAGUUCCUUUGGUACUUCUCCUGAGAAAUUAUUAUUGGAAAUGUCCAUGAUUCUUACCAAAUUAAGAAUGGUGUUAUAUUCAACCAUAAACCCUUUCGUCACAACUGAUGCAUCCUCAAAGACAUCUGAGACGCCUCCCCUUAUAUAUGAUAUUGCAUUAUCUUGAUCAGGUGAAUUCGCUGCCGCCAUAGCAGUGAAGUUAUUGAUGCAUCUUGGUAUGAUCCCUGAGAGACUGUUAUGUGCAACGUCUAAAAUUUGGAGAUAAUUUAGACGACAAAGUUGAAUUGGCAAAGACCCAUGAAGCUUGUUUGAUCGAAGAUUGAGAAUCGAUAAACCUGAAAAUCUUUCUCCCAUCCAUAUUGGAAUGUCGCCAACAAACUCAUUUUCACCCAUGUCCAGUACUUUCAAAUUUGAACAAUUUUGAAUUGGCACAGGAAUUAUUCCAACCAUUCUAUUAUUGCGAAGGUUCAAUAAUUCAAGAGAACUUAAAGUUCCAAUUGAGAUAGGAAGGCUACCAGAAAAGUUGUUGUUACCUAAAUUCAGCACAAGCAAGUUAGGCCAGUUCAUCCAACAAUCAGGUAUAUCUCCAGAAAAAUAAUUUUUCGAGAGUUUGAGAUAUACGUAAAUGUUGUCCGCCUCAUUCUCCCUCUUACAUAUUAAAUGGAAAAUGGAUCCUGACAAAGCAUUGUUGGAAAGAUCAAGUAGACCCGGGGAAGGUACAAGAGGCAAUGGGCGGUCACAAUUUGGAAUCUCACCAUAGAUUUGGUUGGUAGAGAGAUUCAAGUACACGUACUGGGAAAUGGAAUUCCAAAACCAACGGGGAAUAGUAUCUGAAAUUCUUGUGUUGGAUAUGUCUAGAAUGAACAAAUGCUUUUGGGAACGAAGCCACGACGGAAAUUGAGGCCCUAAAUGACAUGACCUCAAUCUUAGUUUUUCGAGUUGAAAAGGAGGAACCCAACUCUGAUUGACUUUGAAGAUUAGCGAGUUUCCAAAUGCAGAAAAUGAGGUCAAUUUUGUUAGGUUGACGAAGUGAAUUUCAGAAAGAGUUCCAUUCAACCUGUUGUUGGACAAAUCCAGAAGUUCUAAGUGUGAUAAUUGUCCCAACGACAUUGGAAUAGCACCAUCCAGCGUGUUAUUGAAAAGAUCUAAGUUUGUCAUCGAUGAAAGUUCUCCUAGAGCAGGUGGAAGGGGACCUGAAAGAGAGUUAUCUCUCAAUUCAAGAGUGUGCAGACUUUUAAAUUGCCCGAGUUGAUUUGUCAAGUGACCAGAAAUGUGACAACCGCUCAAAACCAGUGACUCUAGUGCAUAUGCACCACAUGACGAGAAGAUAUCUAAGACUUGUGAUAAAUCUUGACCCAAUUUGACAUAUGAGACGUCUAUUGAUGUUAACUUACAAAGUCUUACAAAUGAUGUUGGAAUCUGCCCUCCAAGUUCUACAUUGAAAGAAAGGUCGAGAGUUUUGAUAGAAGUCAAUUUUUCUAGACCCAUUGAUGAAAUCGUACCUUGCAAGCUAUUACCUCUAAGAGAAAGGAACUCAAGAUCAUUAAGCUUAGACAACCAGCCAGGUAUUGCAGAAUUGAAUUCAUUAGAAGAUAAAUCAAGAUGUCUAAGAAACGUCAAGUUUCCUAGUCCACUGGGGAUUUUACCAUGAAAUUCAUUAUCGCUAAGAUCGAAAAAGACUAAAUUACGAAGACCAAAAACCCAACUACUAUAUUGAAACAAAGAGUUAUUAAAAUGAUUUCCAGAAAGAUCGAGAGCCUUAAGGGAGGAAAAAUUAGUAGAGGGUAAUGAAGGAAAGUGAUGGAGUUCACAGUAGGACAACUUUAAUACUUUUAAAGAAGGGAGUGAGUUUAUCGUCACUAAACCAUCAGAGGAUUUAGUAAGGUCAACCAGACUCAGAUCGAGGUGCUCUAGAAAAGAAAGACCAGAAAGCCAUGAAAUACUUUCAACUUGUAACUCAUAAUAACUCUUACUAAGGUCAAGAUAUUGAAGAUUAGAGAUAUUUCCAAGUUGGUGAGGAAUCACUCCUGCAAAUUCGGCUCCAGAGAGAUUUAGGUAUCUAAGGUUCUUAAGAGAGCCAAGAUACGAGGGAAUUUGAAUUCCCUGGAAAUCAUUAUCACUUAAGUCCAAGUGAAUCAAAUGCUUUAAGUCAAACAAAGAGGGAUUUAUCUUACCAACCAGCUUUGACCCCGUGCCAUAAUUAGGAUUAGGGUUUCCGAGGUUGAGCUGAAGCACAUGGCCAGUAAAGUUGUUACAAACAACACCAUCCCAUGCACAGCAAUCUCCAUCACCAAUAUUCCAAGAGGCAAGACGGUUUGAAGGAUCACUGAGAUCUUGCUUCAACUUUAAAAGCGCUUGUCUCUCACUGUCUACGCAAACCACGUUAGGGUUGCCAGUGCAGAAGCUGAUGUUGAUCAUGGUAACUAAAGUAAACAACUCAAGAAAGAGAAGGGCAACAAAAACAUCCAUAGUUGAUUUCAUUGCUGUGGCUAGUGAUGAAUUAAUUAUGGGGAAAGGAAGUGUGCUUAUGAUGAGAAUGUUAUUAUAUUGCUUGAUAUUUAUAAUGCCCUCCGUUUGCCCAUAUGACACGUUUGCAUCAAUCGAAUUUGGUACGUAAUAGUAUGAUCGAAAAGGAUUUAUGAUCUGAGUCUCACAUUUCUGCAAGAAAUUUCCCUGCUCGUUGCUUUGGAUCAUCAUCAAGUCUUCUAAGUCAUCAAUUAACUGUUUGCUGUGGCCCCUCGGUGGACUUUGAACUUGCAUUAUUACAGUGGGAGAUACAAACAAAGAAACCAAAAAAAAAAAGAGUUUUAAAAAAGGAAUUGAAUGGUUAAAAUGAUAUACUGUAAAGUUUAGAGUAAUAGGCUAAUUAUGAAGUUUCAGAGUUUUAUGUUGUAAUUUUUGUUAUAAGUUUCGUCUCAACUGCGAUGGUUAGGUUUUGAAUCAAAUACUUUACAAGGCGUUUCAUUUGUAAUAGUUUUCAUUUCUGUAGGACAAUAAAUAUUCUCGUUUGAUUCGUUUUUUUUACUUAGUCUCUAAAUUUAUUUCGCCGGGUUAUCCGGAAUGUGUUUAACUCGUAUAGUAUAUUUUGUCUCUCUGUUAAUUUGGGCCGACAAGAACUAAGGAAAUAUAUUGACCACCUCCUUCGCUUGUCGGCAAGAACUUUCGUGCUCAAUGCUUCGGGUCUUUAAAUUCUCAAUGUCAUUGACUUCUGUGGCUCCUCCAGUGGACUUGCGUUUUGCAUUUUUAGUUAAGGGAAAAAAAAGGUCUUGGCUAUUUUAUGGCAUUGAAUAGUCAUUAAAAUAUUUAAUUACUAGUAUAUUAUUAAUAUUUAAAAAAAACUAAAAUUUAUCUUUUUAUCGAGAAAGUUCAUCUUAAGAAUGGUAGAAAGGCUCGAUCCAAUCAUUGACCAAAUUGAUUCAACCAUAAUUUUUAUGACUUUAGCCCAAACUUAAGGAGUUAAUGAUUGGGUUAGGGCUCAAGGAAUCAGACCCAAUAUAGGGCCUUAUCAAAAGACUCAGACCCGAUUCUUAAAUUAAUUUUUAAAAUUAAAAAAAUAUAAGAAUUGAAAGUACAUACGCAUCAUACAUGUGUAUUUUGUACUUGAUUUAUUUACUUGUUAAUUUGGUUAGAUUUUACAUGUUGUAUUGUUGUUAAAGCUAAAUAAAAAAUUAAUUUAUUAAAUUCCUUACAACCAAAAUAAAAAAAAACAUGAAAUAAUAUUAUCAAUUAAAAAAGAAUGAAGAAUUGGAGCAUUAUUCUAAAAUGUUGUGAAAGCGUGUGGUUGAACAAUUACUAAUAUUACAAUGACUGUGAUUUUUGGAGAUAUAUAAAUGUGGUAAUAAAUAAAUGCAAAGAAAAUAAGACACAAUAAUUUACAUGGUUCGGCAUAAUGCUUAUAUUCACGGACAAAGACUAGAAGAUAAUUUUACUAAUAAUGAGAAUUUACAAAAUUGAAAAAAACUCACAAAACCUAAUACUCAAUACACCCAAAUAGAUCCCCUUAACAUCCAAAGAAACCCUCCUCUAAAACUCACUUAAAACAAACUUUGAUCUCACAAAUUUUAUAGGAAGUAUUACUCACCUACCACACGACUUCAAUUUGACUUGGCCAAAUUGAUAAAUUUGGCAAUCAAUGCCAACUUUUUCAUGCAAUGCAUGCUAGCUGUCUGAUGCAAUUAUUCAAUUUGGACUUGACUCUUCAACAUAAAAGAAGCAUCUAAGAAUUAAAAAACAAGAAUUAAAAAUUAAAAAACAAAGAAUUAAAAAAAAAAGUCCGAGUGGGGCUAGCAAGAAUUAAAAAACAAGAAUAAAAAUUAUGGUGGGGCUCGGAUAAAGUCCGAGUACAACCCUAAUUUGUAGGGUAAGGCUUUUUAAGGGUUAGGACCCUUCAUUUUACAAAACUGAGCCCAACCCGUCCCCUUCCAAAGCCUAGUUCCUCCAGCACUGCACCUUGCAGGCUUGCACCCGAAUUAGACGCAUGGAUGAUAUACUUUUUGGCUAUUGGAACAUAAGGGAACAUUUACUUUCCUUUUUUAGAAUUGGAAUAAGAAGUGAGUACCCUAACGACGUGCUAGGGAGAUCAAUCAAGGGAAACAGCGUUGCUAUUUCAUCUCCAAGGCUCGUGAUCCCGGGCACGUGGGUUCUGUCUCAUCAGUAUUUCGCCAAUGACCUCUUUGAUUUCCAGAUAGCAAUUAAAAUAAUUUUUUGUGUUGUCUGUAACUGUUUGUAUAAAUUGUCAAAUUGACCAUGAAGCCCUCAAACUACAAGCAUAUGUUUAUUAAUUUGCUGAUUGGUUCCUGAUCUUCGCAGAUUGUUCCAGCCAUGGUUGCCAUGUUUGUGUAUAAGGCUGCUGCUCUUGUUUAAGUUUGCAGAGACAACGAAGACUUGCAAUUUGUUUUUCCGGAAAACGAGGGUAUUUCAUGUAACUGAAAUUAUCCACAUUAGUGAUCUCUUGGAAUAUUUCACCUUGAUUCUGAAAUAUUUUGAAGCCCAAAAAGCUUUGCAAAGAAUAGUUCAGUUUCCUGAGUGGCUCAAAAGUAAAGUUGAUUGAUUAAACGUAAACUUCAGAGAUUUAUAGGCAACUAUCAGGCAUGUCUUCCAAUCUUAUACCAAACUUUCCAUUGCAUACCACGAGAUGAUAAGUGCUUAAACAAUAUGUAAUGAUGGAUGAUAUGGAACCAUCUGAGUUUCAAGUACUUUCACAGUUUAGGGGCUUUUAGCACGAUAGAGUUGAUAAAUUUGAAUUGUCAGUAGUCAUUUGUACUGGGAUGUCAAUCGUCAAAGUUGUUUGUGAGAAUAUGGGCAAAAUAUUUAAAUGUAAGUUUCUACAUUUCUGCAUUCUAUAGAAGCAAAAAGCUUUUUAUUCCGCAAUGGAAGAGUGUAAGACUUGUAUAUCAGGGUAAUUUUUUUUUUUCAAUUUUCUUCAUCUUUUGAGACAAAGAAACAUAAAUUUUAUGUAAAACUGAACCAUUAGGUUAACAGCUAUCUGAUUUGGUUCUAAAAUUUAAUUUACGUUAGCAUAAAAUUCAGUUAAUCACGACCCAUGGUAACCAUGAUUGAUCUAAUGGUUGAAACAUAGUGUCAAAAAUUAUAUAAUUUUAGAGGGUUCCAAUGUCCAAUCCUUCCCCUUUAUUGUGUAAGUAAUUCAUUUCUUGUUAAAAAUACAUGAAACAACAGAGUACGUACAAACAUGAAGAAAUCUACUAAAAUUUACUUACAAAGCAGCCAAAUCUAUCCAUACAGCCAUCCAAGAAACGACAGUACUUGUACCUCCAUCCUCUGUUCAAAAGUAGAGGGCCUAUGAAGCACCAAAAACCUACCACAAAUCCAACUGCAAUGCUUACAUACAACAACCAGUCCACUUCAUCUUCAUCUUGCUCGGCAUUUCCGUUUGGAUCUUCAGGUGCACGUGCAUUGUUCUCAGUACAAUUAGGAAGUGGAGGUCCGCAGAGAUUGUUUCCAACAAAACAGGAUGCAUCAAAGCUUUGCAAUUGAGUGCUUGAAGGAAUUUUUCCAGUCAAGAGAUUGUUGGACACGUUCAAGUGAUUCAGAAAUGACAAACUUGACAUACUUUGAGAAAUCUUACUAGAAAGUUGAUUCGUUGAGAAAUCAAGAGAUUCAAUUGAUAUCAAAUUACCAAUAUUCUCUGGAAUUUGCCCAGUAAAAAUGUUGUGGGACAAAUUCAAUGAUUGCAAUCCCCUAAGAUAUGUCAGUUCCAUAGGUAUUUCUCCUGAGAAAUUAUUCUUGGAAACAUCAAUGAUUCUUACCAAAUUAAGAAUGGAGUUAUAUUCAACCAUAGAUCCUUUCAUCACAAUUGAUGCAUCCUCCAGAACCUCACAGUCGUAGGCUGUUACUUCAAAGUAGGACAUAGCAUUACUUUGAUGAGAUGAGUCAAUUGUUGCCAUAGCAGAAAAGUUAUUAACGCAUCCCGGCAUGGUCCCUGAGAGACUGUUAUUUGCAACAUCUAAAAUUUGUAGAGAAGUUAGACGACAAAGUUGAAUCGGUAAAAAGCCAUCAAACUUGUUUGAUCGAAGAAUGAGAAUCAACAAACUUGUAAAUCCUUCUCCCAUCCAUGUUGGAAUCUUGCCGACAAACUCAUUGUCACCCAAGUUAAGUACUUCCAAAUUUGAAAAAUUCUUAAAUGACUCAGGAAUUAGUCCAGACAAUCUGUUAUUGCGAAGGUUCAAUGACAAAAGAGAACUUAAAGUUCCCAUUGAGAUCGGAAGGCUGCCGCUAAAGUUGUUGUUACCUAAAUUCAACACAUGCAAGUUAGGCCAAUUCAUCCAACAAUCAGGAAUGUCCCCAGAAAAAUUAUUUUUUGAGACUUUUUGAAAAUAAAUGCUGUGUGACUUAUUCUCGCCGUUGCAUAUGAAAUGGAUCAUGGAUCCCGACAAAGAAUUAUUGGAAAGAUCAAGUAUGGGCCUUAAAGCAGGUGUAUGGGGCGGUAGAGGGUCAAAAUCCGGAAUCUCACCAUAGAUUUGGUUGCUAGAGAUAUUCAAAUACUCAUACUGAAAAAUGGAAUUCCAAAACCAACGAGGAAUAGUAUCUGAAAUUCUUGCAUUGGAUAUAUCCAAAACAGAUAAAUUCUUUUGUGAAUGAAGCCACGAUGGAAAUUGAGGUCCUAAAUGACAUGACAUCAAGAGCAAUGUUUUGAGUUGGAAAGGAGGAACCCAAUAGGGAUUCACUUGCAAGAUUAGCGAGUUUCCUGAUGCAGAAAACCAAGUCAAUUUUGUUAGAUUGACAAAGUGAAUUUCAGAAAGUGUUCCAUUCAUCUUGUUGUUGGACAAAUCUAGAUAUUCUAAGUGUGAAAUUUUUCCCAAAGACAAUGGAAUAGAACCAUUCAGCAUGUUUCUAGAAAGAUCUAGUCUUGUCAAAGAUGAAAGAUCUCCUAAAGCAGGUGGAAGUGGACCUGAAAUGCAGUUGUCAUCUAGGGAAAGUGUGCGCAGACUUUUAAAUUGGCCGAGUUGACUUGUCAAGUGACCAGAAAUUUGACUACUGCUCAAAACCAGCGACUCUAGUGCAGACGCACCACAUGCAGAUAAAAUAUCUAAGACUUGUGAUAGGUCUUGACUCAAUUUGACAUCCGAGACAUCAAUUGAUGUCAACUCACAAAGUCUUACAAAUGAUGUUGGAAUCGGCCCUCCAAGCUCAAAAUUUAAGGAAAGGUCGAUUGUUUUGAUAGAAGUCAAGUUUUCAAGACCAAUUGAUGAAAUCGUACCCUGCAAGCCAUUACUACUAAGAGAAAGGAACUCAAGAUGAUUAAACUUAGACAACCAGCCAGCUGUUGUAGAAUUGAAUUUGUUUGCAGAUAAAUCAAGAUGUCUAAGAGACGUCAGGUUUCCCAGUCUGUUGGGGAUUUGACCUUCAAAUUGAUUAUAGCUCAGAUCCAUAAUGACUAAAUGACGGAGACCAAAAACCCAGCUGCCGUAUUGAAAAAAAGAGUUAUGAAAAUAAUUUUGGAAAGAUCGAGGGCGUUAAGAGAGGAAUAAUUUCCAGAGGGCAAUGGAGGAAAGUGAUGGAUUUCGCAGUCAGACAACUUUAAUACUUUUAAAGAAGGGAGUGAGUUUAUCACCAGUAACCAAUCAGAGGCUUUAUUAAGGUUCAUCUGACUAAGAUCGAGGUGUUCUAGCAAAGAUAGACCAGAUAGCCAUGAAAAACUAUGUACUUGCAACGCAUAUUCCGACCAACUGAGAUCAAGACAUCGCAGAUUAGAGAGAUUUCCAAGUUGGUGAGGAAUUAUUCCUGCAAAUUCGGCUCCAGAGAGAUUGAGAUAUCUUAGGUUCUUAAGAGAACCAAGAUAUUUGGGAAUCCGAAUUCCCUGAAAAUCAUUACCGCUUAAGUCCAAGUGAGUCAAAUGCUUUAAAUCAACCAAAGAAGGAUUUACAUUACCACUCAGCAUUGACCUCAUGUAAUCUUCAUAUUCAGUAGUGGCAUAUCUGAGAUCAUUUCUGAAAGGAUUUCGCAGGCUGAGCUGAAGGACAUGGCCAGUAAGGUUGCUACAAACAACUUCAGCCCAUUUGCAGCAAUCUCCAUCAACAACCCAAGAGCCAAGACGGUUGGAAGGAUCUUUGAGAUCUUGUUUCAACUUUAAAAGCGCUUCUCUCUCACUGUCUGUGCAACCCACGUAAGAGUUGCCACUGCAGAAACUAGAUAUUGCAAAUAACUCAAGGAAAACAAGGGCAACAGAAACACUCAUUGUUGAUUUCAUUGCUGUGGAUAGAAAUCAGUUAAUGAUAAGAAAAGGAAGCGUGCUGAUGGGAAAUGUUAUCAUCUUGCUUGCUAUUUAUACUCAAUUUGGAAUUAAAUGUUUCACAAGUGAAAACACUUUAGCGUUGCGGCAAAGAAAUUUCAACGCAUUCACACGUCUUCCCUCAGUGGACUUGCAAUUUUUAUUAUUAUAAAGUGGACGAACGUGACACACGAGGCAUCCUUAAGCCGACCCCCUAACAUAUAAAAAUUAUGAACGUGACACACUUGUCAUUAAUAAGCCAGCCCCCUGAUAUGUUAAUUUGUAGUUAACAAGUGAGCUAGAGUUGAGAAAGAAAGACGAGAGGAAGUUUUGCAAAAGCUUAAACUUAUAUUCAUUUAUUCCAUGAGCUACACAUAUAUAUAGUCUCUGAACUAAACACUUAAGCUAGAAAAUAGAAUAACAGUAGCAGAUAAUCUGGAAAAUAACUAACUGGUGCCGAAAAAUCAGCACUCGAGAUUAUUCAACGGAACCACUAAGGUCUAACAAACUUGACCAAGUCUUGAUGAUGACCAAAUCUUCCACUCACUCUCCUCCCGUUUUAAAGUUGAAGACGUGCAUGCAAUCCCAAGCAUUUUCAUACGUCCCAUGCAUUUCCAUACAUGGUCUGAAGGCAUGCAUGCAAUCCCCAUGCACACGAGCACAUAUCAUUCCCCCCCACUCACAACAUCCUUGUCCUCAAGGAUGAAAUCAGGGUAUGUCUUGGCAAAACGCCACUCAGUUUCCCAGGUGGCAUCCUCCACUGGCGCACAAGCCCAUUUAACCAAUAGCUGAGGUUUUGGGCGAUAAUUACCUUUACGUAUCACACGCCGACCCAAGAUAGCCUCAGGCUAUGGAAGAAGUGUUGAAGUUUCUGACACUGGAGGAAGUCGGGGAGAAGCAAGUGGUACGGAUCCCAAAUGCUUACGUAGUAGACUAACAUGAAAAACAUUAUGGAUUUGAGAACCAAGCGGAAGAGCCAACUUAUAAGCAACCGAGCCCACCUUUUCAAUGAUUUGAUACGGACCAAAAUAACGUGCAGCAAGCUUCAUGGAGCCACGAAAGGCCACUGAUGUCUGCCGAUACGGCUGUAACUUUAAAUACACAUAAUCCCCCACGUGGAAAUUUACUUCUCGUCGAUGCUGGUCCGCUUGAGAUUUCAUACGGUCCCGAGCCCGGAAAAGGUUCUACCGUAACUCAUGCAAAAUAGAAUCCCUGUCUCGCAAGUAUUCAUCCACUGCUUGGACCCGCGAAGUACCCGGUACAUAUGUUAAUAAGCUUGGGGGCGGAAUGCCAUAGACAGCUUCAAAGGGCGAUAGUUUGGUGGACGAAUGAAUGGCUGUAUUAUAGCUGAACUCAGCCCAGGGGAUCCAUUCCAGCCACUUCCGUGGCUGAUCGCCUGCAAAACAGCGUAGAUACUGUUCCAAGGUGCGAUUGACCACCUCAGUUUGGCCAUCAGAUUGUGGGUGAUAACUAGAACUCAUGCAUAACUUGGUCCCUUGCAGUUGAAACAGAGUACGCCAAAACGAACUGAUAAAUACCUUAUCUCGGUCACUAACAAUCGAAGUGGGAAUACCGUGUAGACGAACCACAUUGCUGACAAAUGCCUUGGCUACAAUUAUAGCAGUAAAAUGGUGCUUUAAGGGCACAAAGUGGGCAUACUUCGUUAACCGAUCCACGACCACCAUGAUGACGGUGUACCCAUUAGAAGAUGGUAACCCUUCUAUGAAAUCCAUUGAAACGUCAGUCCACAUUUGUUUCGGAAUGGGUAGCGGCUGUAAUAGUCCGGCAGGCCUUAUAUUAUCUACUUUAUAUCGUUGGCAGAUGUCACAAUGUUGCAAGAAUUCUUUCACCGUCCGCCUCAUGUUGGGCCAUAAAAACCUACGCUUGAUGCGAGCAAGAGUUUUAUGGUAACCGAAAUGCCCACCUACAGGAGAUGCAUGACAGUCGGAGAUUAUCUUAGGAAUCAGUGAGGAAGUGGAACUCAAGUAAACUCUAUCACGUUUGAACCAAACUCCAUCUCUCUGUAACAACUGGUUAGACUGAGACGAGCUCCUCUGAGAUAGGCCUUCAUAAAACGUGUCCUGCUGUACCUCCCGUUGAAGAACUGGCCACCAAUUUGCAUGGGGUAACGAAAUUGCUAAAAACUCCACCAUUCGAGAUAAUGAAUCGGCACCCUGAUUCUCAGCCCCCUUUUUAUAUUCAAUUUCAUAAUCAUACCCAAGGAUCUUAGGUAGCCAUCGAGUUUGUGCUGGUGUUGUGAUCCGCUGUUCCAACAGAUAUUUGAGACUUUUUUGGUCAGUUCGAAUGGUAAAUGGUUUCCCGAGUAAAUACGGUCGCCAUUUGCGGAUUGAUUUAAUGAUAGCAAGCAUUUCUUUUUCAUAUGUGGACAACGCCAAAGCAGAACCUUUUAAGGCCUCACUAAAAUAAGCUACUAGUUUGUUUUGUUGAGAGAGGAUGGCUCCAAUUCCGAUCCCACUUGCAUCACACUCGAUCACAAAGCGUUGGGAAAAAUCCGGUAGACGCAAAACAGGUGGAGAAGUCAAUGCUGUUUUUAAUUGAUCAAAAGCCGCGACUGCAUCCUUAUUCCAAUGGAAGCCAUCUUUAGUUAAGAGCCUGGUCAAAGGAGCUGCUAUACACCCAAAAUUGCGAAUAAACUUCCGGUAAUAUCCAGCCAAACUAAGAAAUCCACGAACCCCCUUCGUCGUCGUUGGCGUAGGCCAAUCAAUGACUAUUUGUAUUUUAACAGGAUCAACAGCCACACCUUUUUCGGAGAUGAUAUGACCCAAAUACUCAACCUGUAAAACUCCAAAUUGACACUUUGACUCUUUGGCAAACAAGCUGUUAGUUGAUAAAAUAUCUAAAACUUGACGAAGAUGCGAGAGGUGAUCUUCCCAAGUUCGAGAAUACACCAAUAUGUCGUAAAAAAAAACAAGUAUGAACCUCCGAAGAUAUGGACGAAAAAGAUCAUUCAUGAGACUCUGAAAGGUUGCAGGAGCAUUGGUAAGUCCAAAUGGCAUCACAAGAAACUCGUAAUGUCCCUCGUGUGUACGAAAGGCUGUCUUUGAAACAUCCUCCCCCUUCACACGGAUUUGGUGGUAACCUGCUCGUAAAUCCAACUUUGAGAAGAAUUUGGCGCCGUGGAGUUCAUCUAAGAGUUCAUCUAUGACUGGGAUUGGAUAUUUAUCUUUGACUGUGAUAGUGUUAAGUGCUCUGUAAUCCACGCAAAAUCGCCAAGACCCAUCUGCCUUCUUAACUAAUAGAACUGGAGAUGAAAAAGGACUGCUGCUAGGUCGAACCAAUCCUGCUUGUAGGAGCUCUUUAACCAUUUUUUCGAUUUCAUUUUUUUGGUAGUAAGGAUACCGGUAUGGCCUUACACUCACUGGUUUUGUAUUUGGCUCUAAGGGAAUUUGAUGAUCAUGUGUCCGUUUUGGUGGUAAGCCAGAAGGUGGUUGAAAUACAUGACAAAAUUCAUUUAGGAGGCAUAUGAGGUCAGGUGGAUAUUCAUUCAAUUUAUUGGUAUUAGCAGGAAUAAUUUGAAAGAAAAAACCAGUGCCUUGUAAAUUGAGAAAUUCUUUACCAGUGAGAGCCUCCAUGCCCGCUCGUUCCAUUCCUCGGAAGGUAUGGAUGCCUUCUCCCUUUCUAAAGGUCAUUGUCAAUUUCUUAUAGUCCGUCUCGAUAGGCCCAAGAGUUUCAAGCCAUUGAACACCCAAUACUAAUUGACAUGCUGCAACUGGUAGGAUGUAAUAAUCUGCGGUGAUAAGAUGACCUUGAACUGUGAGAGUGAGUCUCUGGCACUGUCCUGCACACUCUAUCUGUUCUCGGUUUGCAACCAUGACCUGAAGCUUCUUGUCACAAACCACUGGUAACCUAAACUUGGAGACAAUAGCUUGAUCAAUGAAAUUAUGAGUACUUCCCCCAUCUAUUAAAACCGUAACAUCCUUAUUCUUCAGUUUGCCUUGGACACGAAUGGUUUGAGGAUGUGUUGUACCUGCAAUAGCAUGAAAAGAGACUUCUGGUAUUACGUCAUAAUGCUCUGGUACAUGUUGAGCUUCUUCAUCAUUAGUGCAGUUAAAUUGGGGAGAGUCUUCUAUCAUAAAUAGUUGUGGCCGCUCACAACGAUGUCCUGGCACGAAUUUCUCAUCACAGUAGUAGCAUAAUCCCUUCUCUCUGCGUUCGCGUGCCUCUUGGUUGGUGAUUCGUCGAAAGGAAAUUGGUGUAUUAUUAGAGUUCUGAUUUUUUUUUUGGGCGGGCGGAGGUCCUAGCACGCUAGCUGUUGUAUUUGGCAUCGUCCUAGGCAUCACUGAGGUUGUUUGGAAAGGAUAGGACGUGCGAGCCUUUCUUUGCAAUAAGUUCCGUUCUUCAACGAGCCGAGCGACUCCUAUGGCGUCUGCCAAGGUUCGAGGUUGUUUGAUCUUAACGUCUAAGCGAACGUCAUCUCGAAGUCCUGCAACAAAACAGCCAACGAGAAAAUGUUGAGGUAAGCCAUCGAUCUGAUGGGAGAGCUUUUUGAAGGCUUCUUGGUAGGUUGCUACUGUUGUAGUCUGUUUGAGGCGAGACAAAGCUUCAGACGGGUCCUCGUAGUCGGUCGGGCCGAAACGGAGCAGGACUGCCUUGGUGAACUCCUCCCAACUUAAAGGUCCACGAAACUUCAUCAACCAUCUCUGCCAUUGUAAGGCAAUUCCCUCUAAAUGGAAAGAGGCCAGUUGAACUUGUUGAUCAGGGGCAAUAUCUUUGAAGUCAAAGUAUUGUUCUGCUCUGUAGAUCCAGCCACUUGGGUCUUCACCGUUAAACUUUGGAAACGACAAAUUUAUAUGGUGAUGGGUCCUGUCAGUAGUUGGACCAUGGAGAGAAGGGCUUGGUUGGUUUCGGUUUUGUGAGGAUUCUGCAGGGGCAAGGGAAUUGGUUUCAGUAUUGACAGUGUUUGAGCUACGUGAUACUCGAAGGGCUUGAAGCUCUGUCAAGACCGUUUGCAAGGUGGCAUUAACUUGAUCAAAGCUUGACUCAUGGCGGGCUAUAAUUUCACUAACUUCGUUGCGGAAUUCAGCAUUAGUUUUGCCGCGAGUAUCCGUGAUCUAACCUGCUCUGAUACCACUGAUAUGUUAAUUUGUAGUUAACAAGUGAGCUAGAGUUGAGAAAGAAAGACGAGAGGAAGUGUUGUCAAAAGCUUAAACUUAUAUUCAUUUAUUCCAUGAGCUACACAUAUAUAUAGUCUUUGAACUAAACACUUAAGCUAGAAAAUAGAAUAACAGUAGCAGAUAAUCUGGAAAAUAACUAACUGGUGCCGAAAAAUCAGCACUCGAGAUUAUUCAACGGAACCACUAAGGUCUAACAAACUUGACCAAGUCUUGAUGAUGACCAAAUCUUCCACUCACUCUCCUCCCGUUUUAAAGUUGAAGACGUGCAUGCAAUCCCAAGCAUUUUCAUACGUCCCAUGCAUUUCCAUACAUGGUCUGAAGGCAUGCAUGCAAUCCCCAUGCACACGAGCACAUAUCACCCCCUAAAAUACAAAAAAAAAAAAUUAAUGAUAAUAAACGUGACACACGAGUCAGUGAGCCAGCCCCUACAACAGAAAAAAAUAAUAAUAAUAACAACGAACAUGACACACGAAUCAUUAAGCCAGCCCCACGUACAAAAAAAUAUCAAAAGUGUUGGGGGGGGGGGGGGGGGGGGGCGGGAAUGAUGGGUUUCUUUAGUAAUUUUGUCCUCAAAAUCAAGGUGGUACAACUAACAGUAAUUUCUGAUGGAAAUAAUUAUCUCGCACAUCUUAUAUCAGCAAUAUCUAUCAUUUUAUUAAUGUGCACAUAUGAAGAGAAGGGUUGAUUUAAAUUUCAAAUAUAAUUAUAUAUGGAAGAAGAAAGCAUCAAAAUCAUUGCUUUGGAUCAUCGAGUCUUCAAAUACAUUAAUUUAUUGCUUGGUUGGGUCCUUACGUGGAGUUUCAGUUUGCGUUAUUAGAUUGGAAGAUUGCGACAGUGUGGCUUUAAGCCACUUCACUUAUACGUUGGCCACACUCGCGGUUAAUUCAAGAAGGAAAAAUAAAUUUAUCUGUCUGCUUCACUUUCAAACAUCAAAUCUUCAAAGUCAUUGAUUAACUGCUUGGGGUUGGUCCCCCAGGGAGAUUGAAAGAUUGUGCCACAUUUAACAUAAGCCCCGCGGACUCCUGGAAAAUUUUCAAGGAAAAUCAAUUUAGCUGUCUACGUCGUGCAGAUUGAUAACCUGUUUGCAUGUUGACUGAUAAUCAUACCCGGUAAAUAAAUUAGAGGAUAAUAGAUUUAUAAAUUUUGAGAAUGAUUCACCAUUUUUUAAAAAACACUCUACUCUUUUAUAGUGAUAAACGAGUGAGAACUAUUGACACCCUUUAAAAUUAUUCUAAAACUCUUAUUUUAUUAUAAUUACAUUGAGUAAAAAGGCACCUAUACGUUUAAGAUUUUAAGAAAUGGUCAUAUUAAUCUUCAUAUUUUCAAUAAGGAUACCAAAACUUCAUUUUGACUAAGGUGCUCUAUUAACUCAAAAAAAUUAACUCCAAUAUUUUAUUAUAAAUUGAAGAAAAUAUUAAAGUAAAUGUAUAAUAUAUACAUUUAAAAUAAUUUCAAUAUUUAAAAAAUAUUUGAAUACUUUACAAUCUUAUAAUAUAUUAAACCAAAUAAAUAGAAGCACAAUAUUAAAAUAAAUAUAUCAAAAUUUAAGUUAUUUUCAAUAUUUUAUAAAAUAAUUUUAAUAUUGUUAAUAAAUUAGAUACAUUUUGUUAAUUGUAAAUUUUAUUGAACCCAAAGACUUAUUUAUAAUUUCUAUAAUAAAUACAAAUUAUUAUUAAAAUAUAUAUAAUAAUUUAUAUUUUGAAAAUUAUUUUGUAUAUUAAAAGAUUUUAAUAUUAUUUGACUAAUAGACAAAUUAAACUAUUUAAAUUAUAUUUAUAUUUAUUAAAAAAUUAAAGCAAAUUUUUUUAGUUACUAUUUACUAAUGGUAUUAUAGUCAAAAGAAAGAUUUGCCAAGGUUGAAUCAUUUGCUGCAACUCAAGAAUGAAAUACAAGUGUGCAACCCAAGAGGGGGGGUGAAUUGGUAUUUUAAAAAUUAUCAUAACAAAGCCACACAACAAUCCAAUCUAAUGCCUUAAUAAAUUCGAAAGCAAUAAGUUCAAUAAAAGCACAAUAACAAAUGAAUAAAGAGAAGAGAAACAAACACACGAAUUUUUACGUGGUUCGGCAAUCCCCACCCACGUCCACGCCUCCAAGCGAUCUAAGCUUGAAGAUUUCACUAUCCAAGCUUUCCAAGGCUUUAAAUGUUUACAAUUGACUUCAAGGUGUCAAUGAACCUUUACAACAAAGAGAUUAUCUCUCAAUCUCUUCACUCAAGUGUCUCACACACUUAAACACUUACAAUUAAGAUGAGGAAUUGAAAAUUACAAUGAAAUCUCUCUUAAAGAGUAGAUAUACAAAUUAAAGAACAAAAGAUGAUUCAAGGUUUUAUGAUUUGCGAAAUGAGAGAUCAAUGAACGUUGUGUGCUUUUUUAUUUUUGCUUGCAUGAGAGCUUGAAAAUGAAUUGGAUUUGAGUUUAUAUAGUUUGAGCUCAAAAACUAGCCGUUAUGCACAUUUUGGUGAUAAUCAGCUUACCGUUUAUGAAAUCCGGUUAGCCGCUUUUAUGUUACCGUUACAGCAAAAAUUUGAAUUUAAGAAAAUCUGGCAUGCCGCUUUUCAUAUCCGGUUAGCCGCUUUUGAAAUCCGGAUAGCCGCUUGCGAAAUCUAGAUAGUCACUUAUGUUCCAGAAGCUUACUGCCCAACAUUCGGCUAGCCGUUUGUCACAUCCGGUUAGCCGCUUGCUACAGUAACCAGUACAGUGCAUUAUUUUCUAAAAUUAUAUUUUGACCCCAAAACGUUAUAAAAUUUUAUUAUAGCCUAAAAUGUUAUGAAAGUUUUCAAAUAGAUCCAAUUUCAUAAUUUCUAAAUAAUGCUUUGUCAAUCCCAAAACUUUUUGAAAUUAUAAUAGCACCCAAACUAUGUGAAAUUAUAGAAUGACCCAAAAUAUUUAAAUAUUUUCAAAUAAGUCCAAAUCUGAAAUUUUAAAACAAUAUCAAAGAUUAUAAAAUACUUUCAUUUUAGUCCAAAACACUUAAAUUCAUAAAAUCAUUUGCUUACUAUAAAAACACAAUUCACAAAUCUUUGUUUAACUAACACAUGUGAUUUGUUAUCAUCAAAAUCAAUAUUUAUAGCCAUAUAGGCUAAUAAAGAAAAGCCAAUAAAAUUCAGUUUUAGUUCCCUUGUCGGCACAAAACCAAUUGAAUCAAAUUUGUUUCUCUCUCUCUUUCUCUCUCUCUCUUUUGUAGUCUCAUCUAUACAGUUAAUUUGCUCAAACUUGUUUUCUUUUUUUAAUUUGAUUAUUUUUAUUUUUGGAAGCUAGUGUUUUUGAGUUUUGUCGAGAGAGAAUAUUUGAAAAAGGAGAUUAUUUUUUUUAAAAAGGUAUUUUUGGCAUUAAAGACAAUAUAAUUGGAAAAAAAUUUAAGAUGAUUUUGGAGGGGUCAUAUAUUAUAUACAAUAUACUACAUGGGUGGGAUAUUUCCACCCCAUUAUUUGUAUAAACCCAUCCCAUUUCUAAAAAAUAUUUACAAUAAAUACAUAUUUUUCUAAUAAAUACAAAUCAACAAAAAAAAUUAUGUAAUUAAUCAAUUAAAUCGUUCUUAUAUUUUUUUCUUACUUUUUUUUAACCAUUAAAGUAGCUUUAAUAUAAGUUCUAUUUAAUUAUUUUGCUUUAUGACAUAAAAUGACCCAUUGACCCAAAAAAAAUGUGUUCUUGUAUCUAAUACUUUAGAUACUUAAUUUUGUGACUUAAUCUAGGUUCUUAAAUGAAGUCUAAUAGUUUUCAAUGUUUUAUAUGUAAAUGACAUAAAUUUGACAGCCUAAUAAUUUAAUGAGUAUUUUUUUCAUAAAGACAUUAUGCUAGUUUAAUUAAAAAUAGUCAAUUUAAAUUUAGGUUUAAGUAAUCUUAUUAGUCACAUAUAAUAAAAAAAUAAGUCACAAUAAAAUAAAUUAAGAUAGAUUUAAUUGAUUAAUUCUUUUGAAUUCUUCUUUAUUUGAAAUUUUUAAAAAUAAUGAAAAUUUUUUGUAAUUAUUUUCUAAAAGUGGGGUGGAUUUGUUGAAUUUGUAGGGUGAAAAUAUCAUCACCCACAAUACACAUGUCCAUAUAAAGAGAGUUAACACAUAAAAGUCGUAUAAAUACGUUCAAAUAGCGCCCAACACAGAAAAUUAAACUAAUCCAAACUUUUUUUUUUUGAAUUAAGGUAAUCAGGGGGUUGAAAAAAGAAACUUUGCAUAAAUAUGCACAAACGAUAUAAAGUGAUGUGGUAUGAAAAUUGUGAUUGAAUAAAGCAAAUGGGCAAUGUUAUAACUAUUAAUUCUUUUGUACCAAUUGAUGUGAUAUUAUAUGAGUGGUUAAACGAAUACAUCACCAAGCUUAUUUUUAUUAUUUUAUAUUUUUAUUCAACUAAUUCUUAUAUCAUAUUAGUUUGUAUAAAAAUAAUUUUUAUAAAAUUUUGUAGUUAUAACAUCACUCAAAAAGUUAUAUGGCCUACAAUUUUUUUUUUAAUUAAGGUUGUGGCUAUUUGAACCUCAAAAUUCCUCUGCAUACCCAUACUUUUAUUGAAAGUUUUAUUACUAAAUUAUCUGUAAACAAAAUUAUUAAUAAAGACAUAAUAGUGAGAUGAUUUUUUUUUUUAUCAUAUUUAAGAUCUUACUUUAAUUGGUCUAAACAAGAGAAAUUGAAGUGAACAAUUGAUUCUGAUAUUAGAAAUAUGCCAACCAAUUAUGAGAAAUUGGAUACAGAUUUACAAAUGGGUAAUUUCUUGAUUUUGGCAUGAUAAGGCAAAGCAGCAAACAUGCAUAAGAAAAUGAAAUGUGCAUAAGAGAAUGAUAUCAUGUUGGUUGUUAUAAGGUCCGCUGUUUAUUCAUACGAUAUUUCCAAUCUAAUUAAUUUAGAAUGUAAAAUUGAAAUAGCAAACACAUCGAUUGUCCUUAUUCCAAAGAAACAGUGGUCUGAGGUGUUGUCAGAUAUGAGGAUGAUUACACUUUGUAAUGUGCUUUAUAAAAUAGUCUCCAAGAUGCUAGCUAAUCGCAUGAAAUCUGUUCUUGACUCGGUUGUUUCAAAAUCUCAGAGUGCCUUUGUUCCCGGUCGUGCAAUUACCGAUAAUAUAAUUGUCUCGACAAAAAUUAUGCACUUUUUGAAGAGGAAGAGGCAAGGAAAACAUGAUGUCACUGCUCUAAAGAUCGAUAUGUCCAAAGCAUACAAUAGGAUCAAGUGGGGUUUCUUUAGGAUAUGAUGCUUAAACUGGGUUUUGACACUAAAUGCGUGAACUUUAUCAUGCUUUGUGUGACAACAGUUCGUUACAAUGUGCAUCGUGAGGGUUGGGAGGUGGGUCCAAUUAUGCCAAGUAAGGGUCUACAUCAAGGUGAUCCAUUGUCUCCGUAUCUUUUCAUUUUAUGCGCAGAGGGUCUUAGUUCUUUGAUCAAGAGACAUGAGAGGCUUGGUUUGCUUCAUGGGGUGAGAGUUGAUCAAAAUGCUCUAGUGGUGUCUCAUAUUUUUUUCGCCGAUGAUAGCUUUCUAUUUUUUAGAGCAAAUCAGGUUGAAGCUUUUAUCAUUAAGCAGAUUUUGGCUAUUUAUGGAUGUGCUUCUGGUCAGAUGGUAAAUUUCACUAAAUCAACCGUUUCAUUUAGUGCUAAUGUGAAUGCUAGUAUUUUUAGUCAGAUUUAUGGAACCCCGGAUGUUAAUGCUACAGAAGAUCAUGGAGCUUAUCUCAGAUUUCCAUCUCAUAUUGGUCAAAAGAAAAAAGUUGUCUUUAAUUAUAUUCGGGACAAAGUUCGACAGAGGCUGUAAGGUUGGUCUCGAGCUGGAAAGGAAAUCUUGCUGAAAACGGUGGCUCAAGCAAUGCCUAAUUACGCCAUGAAUGUCAAUCUCCUACCCCUUGACUUAUGUAAGGAGCUGGAAGUUGUGAUGAAUUCCUUUUGGUAGGGCAGCAAAAGCGGUGGUGGUAGGGGAAUUCGUUAGAUGAAGUGGGAGCACUUAUGUAAACCGAAGGAUUUUGAGGGAAUUGGCUUCAAGCAACUGCAUACUUUCAAUGUCACUUUGCUUGGAAAAUAGGUCUGGAAACUUCUUACAAAACCAGAAUCUUUUGUUGCUAAAGUUUUAAAGGCUCGCUAUUAUUCGAGAUCUACUAUUAAUGAAGCCAAAUUGGGGCACAAUCCGAGUUUUGUGUGGCGCUCUAUUUUAUCUGCAAAGGAUGUUGUUGUCUAUGGGAGCCGAAUUCAAAUUGGAAGUGGGCAGAAUGUUUUAAUAGGCCAAGAUCCUUGGCUGCCAGAUAUCAAUAAUAGCUUUAUCUCAUCUAAUCUAAAUGAGGAGCUAGCUGUUGCGAAAGUGAAUAGCUUGAUGGUGCCAAACCAAAGACAAUGGGAUUUAUAUAUUGUUUCUAAUCUUUUUAAUUCAAGAGAUAAAGAACUGAUCUUGCAAAUUCCUCUUAGCUACCAUAGAGUGUCUGAUAUGUGGUAUUGGUUGCAUGAUCCUUGUGGAGUUUAUUCAGUACGUAGCUGCUAUAAACUGUUAACUCAUAGUGCUAGUGAUUUUCUACUAGUAUUUGGAGAGCAUUGUGGAAUUUGGAGGUGCUGAAUAAGGUUAGGAAUUUUCUUUGGCGGGCUGCGACAAAUGUAUUACCUACUGCAGAUAAUCUUAUUCGUCGUAGAAUGGCUAUUAUGCCUACUUGCUCUUUGUACAAUGCCUAUGAUGAGAUUGUUACACAUGCUCUACUGGAAUGUGGCUUUGCUAAGUCUUGUUGGAUUUCCUUUACUGUUGGUUAUUUGUUAUGAAACACAACCCCUUCUUCAAUCUUGAUCAAUCAGCAAUCUAAGUAACCUUGACCAAUUGCUCAAGUAACUAAUGGUUCUAACCAGGAAAUUGAGAAUCAAGAACGUAAAACUAAAUGAAAGAGAGAAAAAGAUAAAGAAAACAGAGAAAAGAAACACAGCAAGAUAACGUGGUUCGGUACCAAGGUACCUACAUCCACGACUGAAAACACCCUUAGGGCUUGAAACGUUUAUUAAAAAGAUUGAUUACAACAGAUCUUGAGAAUACAUAGAACAAAUCUCUUUUUUACAGAAUUCUCUAAAUCUCACUUAAUCCCAAUCGAAAUCUCUUCUUAAGGUGUUGAACUGACCAACUCUGCUUCUUAAAUACUAAAUCCAUAAGCAUGUAGAACUUGUUGUAACAGAAUUAACCGUCAAAGGGUCCCAUUUGCCAGCUCACCAAGCCACCUCAGUAUUACUAUUUUUAACAGAAUAUAACUAACAUGUUUCAAAAUUCCAGGCCAUUGUCUGUCCUUAAGCCUCUUCACUUUUCUCCCAACUUGAUUUUCCAUCAGGGCUGUCCACUCCUUGAACUUCUUUAAGGCUUCACUUUUCUGCUUCAACACAUAAACCCAAAGUUUCCAAGAGAAGUCAUUUAUGAAGGUAAUAAAGUAUCUUGCUCCACCAUGAGAUGGAACUUGUGAUGGCCCUCAGAUGUCUGAAUGAACAUAAUCCAGUGUUUGUUUGGUUUCAUGCUUCCCUGGAUUAAACUUUUGCCUAGUGGUUUUCCUAAAUACACACCUUUCACAGAACUCAAGGUGAGAAAUGUGAUCAUGAACAAAUAAUCCUUGUUUUUCCAGUUCUUUCAAACCUCUUUCACUCAUAUACCCUAGCCUCAUAUGCCAAAGUUUGGUCUUAUCACUGCUAACACUAGCAUUCACCUCUAACUUUAACAAAGGCGCCAUUAAGACAUGAUCUAUAUUUGACCAUUUUCAGCUUUAAUGCUACAACCCAACUGAUAUAAUAUCCCCAAAGAUAUUAGGUUUCUUUUAAGGUCAAGAACAUACUUAACUUGUUCAAGGUCUCUGGUUACUCCAUCAAACAUCUUGAUACUGACUAUUUCUAUUCCAGCAACCUUACGAGCAAGAUUAUUUCCUAACAAGACUUUGCCCCUAUCUAUAUUAUCAAAGAUUUUAAAGAGGUCUUUACAAGAACACAUAUGAAAUUGAUUCUAAAAAUCAAAUUUUAAAAAACUAAUCCUUUCCUAAUUUUCAAAGUUUCCUACAGGAUGGGGUGAUUUUGUCGUAAGUGAUUUUUUUUAAAAAAAUUUACUAAAUACGAAAAUUAGUUUUUAAUUUUUAAUAUCACUUUUGAAUCUCUCAAAAACAAUAACGAGCCAUUCAUUAAACAUUUAUAUUAUUGUUAAUAAUAUUACAUACUCAUUUCUUGAUCAAUGCUAAUAAUGUGUGACAAUUGUAUGUUACCAUAAAUUCUAUGGCACGAGACUUUUACAAUAUAAGUUUUAUUUGAUUAAUGCUAGACUACGAAAUGGUUGAAACAUAAUUAUAUACAUUUUAAAUUACAGUUGUCCAACCUCAAUUCCAAACGCACCCUAAAUUAAUUAGAUAAAAACACCACAUGACCGAGACUUGAAAUAUACACUAGUAGAUAAAGAAUGAAUACACGCGUAAGAGUUUGAUUGGUGUGCACGUGGAGUUUGAACAUGAGACUUUUAGCUCCGUUAUCACGUUCGAGAAACUUCUCUCAAGUAUUGUUUCUCAAUUAUAUUUCUUCUUGUUUAGCUCUCAUGGAAUAAGAGGAACAGUUUGAUUCCAAAAAUGGAGCAUCCCAAAGUAAAGAGAAAAAAAGGAACUGAGCCUGUUUUCUCUCGGGAAAAAUGUUUUGUACAGUCAUCACAUUCACACAGCUUUUAUGACUAAAACUUUUGAAACAAAAAUUUUCACUGAAAGAUAAUUAAAACUCGCUUUCCCUCAUUGAAAAUUUUAUGCCUCAGACGAUUCAGCAAGAGUCUAGGAAGUUGAAUCUGAUCUUUGAUUUCAUAUUCAGUUUCCAUUAUUGGACCACGUUUAUCAUCAAAUGGCAUCCAUGUGUGAGGAAAACGACAACAUUUUUGGAACCAGAUUUUAGUUAUUGACAGCUUGAAUUGAUAGUAACAUAACAUUGAACUUCAAUUCGAUCUCAAGUCUCAGUUAUUUAAUGGAAGAAUUUGGGUUCUGGCCUAUGGGGAUAGCUAGCCAAAGCUAUCAAUGCAGGAUGAGGGCCAAAGCUGUCAAAGCUAUCUCUGACUUUGUAGCUCAAAUUCUUGAAAUUUAACUUCUAACCAUUAUGAUUGAUUUCAAAAGAAAGUAGCUAGUACAUUACUUGAUGGGAAACCUCAUUAAUUUUAAAGUGAUGAUACUCCAUCCCACAUUUUUUAUAAAUCCAACCAAUUUUUAAAAAAUAAUUAUAAAAAUUGCACAUUAUUUUUAAAAGUUGUACAUUGAUUCACUUUUUUAACAUAUUUGAUUAUAAAGAUUGGUUUGACAUAAGUUUAAAUUGAAGUAAAAUUAUCAAGAAUUUACUUUAACUUUAAUUUUUUUCUAAUUUGUACCAAACUAGUUGUUUAUAAUACUAUUUUAUUAGUAUGAUUAUUACUUUUUAAUUAAAUUAACAUAACGUCUUUAUGGUACAAUUCUCAUAUAAAUUAUUAGACUGUCAAAUUUAUGUCAUUUACACAUAAGAGUAGUGAAAUAAUAAUUAAGUUUCAUUUUAAAAUAUUAAAUUAUAAGUUGCAAAAUUAAAUACCUAAAUUAUUAGAUAUAAUAACUCAUGUUUUAUGAGGAUAAUUUUGUCUUUUUAUAUCAUAAAAAUAAAAUAGUGAAAUAAAAUUUAUAUUAAAACUUAGGGAGAUUGCCAAUUUCCCCCUUAUUAAAAUCAUUAUAUACCAAUUCCCCCCUUAUUAUUUUCAUAAUGACCAAUUUCCUCCCUGCCGUUAUAACAGUAACAGAAGUUGCUCAAUUACAAGAAUUAUGUGUGUAGAAGAAUUAUUCUAAUUGGGGAAGAAAUGAGUGAAAAAGAGCUUAUAUAUCAGAUGCUACAAGCUAGCUUCACGUUUUUGGAAAAUUUCCAAAAACCAUAUAACGAACUUUAACAACUCAGGCCACGUCAGCAGAAAUUUACAAACACAUCCUUCAACUGAAUGCAAUCUGCACAAUGACCCAUGCAACUCUCACGUGAUUUCACUUUAGUCCCAAAAAUCAGUUAAUCACUUAUCCAGAUUUUUUUAAAGUUAUGGUGAAAUGAUGCCAUUUCAUAUGGUGAAACAAUGUCGUUUCACUUAUCUAGAAACGACAUGUCCUUUUUAUCAUUCUACAGAGGAUGACAUAUUGUUUUAUAUGGAAUGACAUGCAGUUUUAUAUAGGAUAACCUGUCAUUCUUUAUAGGAGCUUCUUUUAUUUUAAAAAAUCAUAUUACUCUUUUGAUGUCAUCACUUACAAACGGCAACUAACGGAUUAAUGGUUGACAUAUAAUUUUUGUUAACUUAAAGUGAAUGAUUGAUACACUCUUAAAAUGUUAUAAUAUUUUAAUAAUAUUAUAAAUUUAAGACAUAUGAAUGAUAAUUUUCAAAAAAAGAAAAAAGACACUUCAUUGAUCUACAGUGAUCCUACUGAACUCUAAAGAGAAGAAAGUACAGUAGAGAUGCCUGGGCUUAACUUCAUCAAAUGCUGAUGUGCAAUUAACCCGUGCGAGCUAUAAUAAAUAACACUUUUAGAAUUAUCUCCCGCGGUUAGAUUUGGUACUUCCAACUAAUACAAUAACAGAUAACUUGUAAAAUCGGGCGGUAUGAAAGCCCUCUAGAGCCCAAAUCUUUAGUUCCCCUUGUUUGGACUUUGGACCUUCUUCACUUUGAGGGGUUUUUGGCAACAAGUCCACAACGUAACGCCCACUAGAUCAACCGUAUACUGUAAAAUUUAAAAAAUAAAAAAUAAAAUGAAGUGUGAAUCCAACAAUCAAGUGACGUCUCCAAAUUAACGUGAGAAAAUUGUAGAGCAACAAGCAUCGAACUCUCAGUAAGAGUGAGUCGCACUGUUAUUAACAAAACAAAACAAAAACGAAACAAAACACGCUCUCUGUCAAGUGUCUCUCUGAUCAAAAUUAAUUUUCUAUUUUAAUUAUUAUAAUCACCAGAUCAAAUCGAAAGGAACCAUAAUAUUUAUUCACCAAUUUAAUGUUAGGAAAUUGAGCUUCCUCCCAAGAUCACUCCAAGUAAUUUGUCAAGCAAUAAACUAACAAGAAAAAUAUUAAAUAGAGAAUACAUCAAUCACACAGCACAAGAUUUACGUGAAAAACUCUAAAUUCGGAGAAAAACUACGGCCGUUGUCACAAGACAACCAGAGAAAAAUAUUCACUAUAUGAAAAAUUAUUACAACCACAUUUUCAGAAAUAAUUUUCUCUCACCCAAGCCCCAAAUACAUGAUCCCGAGAAAUAUUCUUUAACAAAGCAAACUCGUAAUACCCAUAUUGAGGAGACAAAUGCUCCUUCAAUAUAACUACAUGCUUAAGAACAUUUCUCUCUCUCAAUUUCUCAUCAAAACUUGGAGAUAAAAGUGAGGAGGAGCACCCUCUUAUUUAUAACCAAACGGAAGCACUAUUCAAACCGCGUUAUUGUUCAUGCCGCGUGGUCAAACCGCAUUACUGUUCACCACGUGGUCAAACCUUUUUUUUUAUAAUCAAUUUUCAACAAUCUCCACCUUGAUUAAAAAAAAAAUUUCAUAGCUACUGUUACAAUACAUUGUCUUCAUCAACAAUCAUAAUUCUCAACAUAGAGAAUUAUCAUACUCCACCAUAAAAAAAAUACCACUUAGAAUCAACCAUUUUAAGAUUUUUCUCUGCACAUGUCAAACAUAUCCGCUGAACAUUAUGGUGCAAUUCUCAAUGCUUGGUUCCCUGAGAAUUCUUCAGCCAUGACAUAACUUUUCCACCACACACCUUGCAUUUAUACCAAGCCAAUGCCUGCGUGCAAACUUGUAGACCUCGCUAAUAAUAACAUGUUCUCUUUCAUGGCAACUUGGAGAUCUACAUGCUAAAAGAACUAACUCAGUCUCUUAUCAAAAGGAAACUCACUAUCUGCGAGAAUAUCAGUAUCUCUUUUUACUGAUUCUGGAGCAAUUUGCCGAUCCCGCUCCACCUUCUUGACAAUUUCCUUAAGGUGCCAAAUUGCCACACCUUCAAAUCUUUUUGCAUACUAGAUUGGACACAACUUUGACUUGAUUUCUCCACAAGCCAAAAAAUCAUUCUCCCAUUAAUUUUUAUAUUUCAAAUUUCACCGGACUUGAAAAUUUCAAUCCUGACAUAUUUACUUUGCAGAUAAGCUUUUACUCUUCACCGCUGACUAUUUGGAUUGGCUCCCACUGCUUCAUGUGAAUGGUAUUGUAUACAUGAAUAAUAUCGUAUACGUGAAUAGUACCGUAUACGUGAACAGUGCCCCGAGACCAGAAUUUCAACUAAUGGCUAUAAUACCACUGUUAGGAAAUUAAGCUUCCUCCCGAGAUCACUCCAAGCAAUUUGUCAAGAAACAAACUAACAAGAAAAAUAUUAAAUAGAGAAUAUAUUAAUCACACAACACAAGAUUUACAUGGAAAACUCUAAAUCCAGAGAAAAACUACGGCCAUUGUCACAAGACAACUAGAGAAAAAUAUUCACUAUAUGGAAAAUUAUUACAACCACAUUUUCAGAAAUAAUUUUCUCUCACCGAAGCCCUAAAUACAUGAUCUCGAGAAAUAUUCUUUAACAAAUCAAACUCGUAAUACCCAUAUUGAGGAGACAAAUGCUCCUUCAAUAUAACUACAUGCUUAAGAACAUUUCUUUCUCUCAAUUUCUCGUCAAAACUUGGAUACAAAAGUGAGGAGGAGCACUCUCCUAUUUAUGACCAAACGGAAACACUAUUCAAAAUCGCGUUACUAUUCAUAUCGCGUUGUUGUUCAUGCCGCGUCAUUGUUCAAACUGCGUGGUCAAAUUGCGUUACUGUUCACCACGUGGUCAAACCUUUUUCUUUUUUUAAUCAAUUUUCAACAUUUAAGAAACAAUGUCAUUCCCUUUUUUUAACCCUAGAUCAAAAUUCACAAAUGGCUUAUCAAAAAGCUUGAGAGCGCGACAUGCUGGACUCUAGGGGUGGGCAAAACCGAGUUCGGGUCAGGUUCGGGUCAAUUCAAUCGGAUUUCAGGUUGAUUGGGUUGGUUAAAAAUUAAUCCGAAUAAAACCCGAAUUAUAGACCCGACCUGAUAGUUCGGAUCGAGUCGGGUCGGGUCAACGAUGUGGGUUAAAUUCGGAUAGGAUUGGGUUCGUAUGUAAUCAAUUUUAAAAGCUUCAAAAUCUUGUUCGGGUCACAAAGUCAGAAAGGGCAAACCGGCAAAGCCAAAAACUCAGGUCGGGUUGGAGCUUGAGCCUUGGAGCAGCAGAUCGGUGGCCGCGGCAACAGAUCGCAGACGAGUUUUCAGCAGUAGAUGGGCACACAUGCAGCGGUAGAUCGCGACAGUUGGACGCACAACAGCAGUUCGCGGCGACUGGUCGGAGAGGCAACAACAGAUCCGGGACUGGAGAGGGUUGUGUGUGUGAGUGUUGUGGCUGUGGGUUGUGUGUGUGAGGCCGUGAGGGUUGCAAACUUGCAGAGGGUUUGUUGUGAUUUGUUUGUAAUUUGUAUUUUGCGAUUUGUGAAUCUGUUUGUGUUUGUGAAAUUGUGACUGUGAGUGUGCCCGUGUGGUGUGUGCCUGUGUUUAGGUUAGGUUUAGUUUUUUUUUUUUUUUUUGUAACCCGAUCGGGUUUAUAAAAUUUCAUCCUAUCGGGUUUCAUACAUAACCCGAUCAGAUCCGUUUCUAACCCGAAAAGUUUCGGGUCGGAUCGGGUCGGGUCGGGUAUUUUGCUCACCCCUACUGGACUCCCUCUACUCGAUGCUAGCGCUCGUCUUCAUACUUGCCACUUGCGUCGAGCUCUGUGACGUCGCCACCAUUGUCGACAUCUAUCGUCUCAUUCAAUACGACAUCUCCGGCGUCCCAUUUGGAUCUUGGCUGGCGAGCCUCAAUCACCACACCGGUUCGCUCCAUUUUUCGCCUGGCGCGGACCAGUCACGAACCGUUGUUGUGAUUCCGGUUCGCGAAUUGAACAUUAGCUUGUCAGUGGUAUUUUUAUUUAGUUUUUUAACGAUUGUCGUUGCUAAAUAUAAAGCUUUUGUGAGUUAAGAUUUAUGAGAUUUUCUAUUUUCUAUUCAAUCACAUCCAAAUUGAUUUUUUAUUCUUAUAAGUUCUAAUCACUUACGUGAAACAAAAGUAAUUAAUUAACAAUAAACAACUACGUAUAUAUAUACAUCUUCUUCUACACGGUACUAUAACUCUUAUCUCAUUAACAAUUCCAUUCUUGUUAUCUAAAACACUUUGAACGCCCAAAAAGCUGCAAGCAUGACAAGUCCACUAGCAAGACAAACAUUAUUCAAUACCCUUUCUGCCCUUUCCUUUUUCUCUUUUCUAUCAAUUUUCCUCAUCAAAAGCUCCUCAUAUCUCUCUUUCACUUCCGCUCUCCUCCCAUUCUUUCUCUUCCCACUCUCCAUAACCCCUUGCAAAAUUACCAAACCAUCCUUCCAACUCAAAUUCCCCUCCAUGUCCUUCAUUUGCAUGUUCACUUCUUUCACGCAUAGCAUUUCCUCACCUUUCUUUCCCCUUCCCCCAGGUGUCACCAUCACUUCACACUCCAUGCACUCCCUCGCCGGAAACAAUCCCCACCGUUGAUUACCACCUGCGGCGAUCACCACCGCAUAUUUCACGUGCAAGUCACUUGUCAACCAGUCUUGUCGCACGGAAACCGGCCACCAGCUGGAUAAGUUCACCGCCCGGUUUCUGCUAGAGUCGAUUAUUAUCCAACUCAAUGUCAAGUUCUUUUCAAGCUCUUCAAACAGAAUAUUUGCUUCACUCACAAAGGGUAUCUUCGUCGGAACGGAAUAUUUCGCGUCGACCAGGUCAAUCCUUAAAGGUGGGAACUGAAACCAGCCGGUUACUGUCUCAUUCUCUGUAACCCUAGAGAAGACGGGAUCGUUUCUGUAGUAAAGAUCAACGGCCGAGAUUAUCUGUUCAGUGACAAGUAAAGAAUCAUCAUCAUGAAUGUGUUUUGAGGGUUGUUUUUGGCAAUCAAGAACCGGGAAUGAGUGAGAGAAAAAAGACCGGUGACCACCUCCGGGGUAGGAGGAGACGAGGGUUCGCACACGUGGGUCGUUAGAGGAAGGCCACGUGGAGGAGCAGAUAUGUUGCCAGAGUUUUUCUUGUGCACAUAGAGAGUGUAGACGAGAUGAAGUGCAAGCUGCGGCAGCAAGAGUUUGGCCGUCGAGUCGGGUUAAGAUAUGAGUCUCAAUGAUGUCGGGAAGCAACGUUGUGAUGCCUUGAUGGCUUGUAAAUUUUGUGGGACAAGGAGAAGAAGCCAUUGCUUCUUAAUUUUUUACCUCAAAAUGGAGUUUGAAUGUUGGGUUCAUUUAUAAGCAAAAGAGUCAGGCCUAAUUGGUCUAAUAAAAAUGUUGAAACAAAUAUGUGUAUAUGACAAAAGAUGGAUUAGUUUUAGAAUAUAUUAUUCUUUGGUUAAUCCAAUCAUAGGAUAAGUUGAUUCGCUUUAAUGUAAUGAGCAAGAUUUAUGAAUUAAAUUCUAAAAGUCAAGGUUGGUAGGCUAUAGACAAAUGCAUAAAAGAUAGAAAAAUGGAAUUUCCAGGCAGUGGAUGAAAAAGAACAAGGACCUACAUUCAUAAACAUUUCAUUAAGAAAGGAAUAACAGUCGACGUUUUAUUUUUCUUUUCCCUCUCAAUCUUUUAGAUUUAAAAAAAAAAAAUAAAUUUAUGGGCCUUAAGGCGUGUGGUGGAGUGUUUUUUAAGUAAUUUAAUUUAAUUUAUCACUUGAGUUCAAAUGCAGAGGAAAGUAGAGGAUUGAAAAUUGAUUUAAAUUGUGUCUCAUUCUCUACCUUUUAAAAGAUAAAAGAAAUAUAUAUACGGUAGUUUAUAAAAAUUUGUGUUAUUUUUUUAAUAUUUUUUUCCUAUAAAUACAAAAUACAAUCGUAAGAUAAGAGGAUUCUUAAAAUGAUUUUCAAGUAGUUUUUCUUUGAUUAAACCUAUGUUUUGAGGGGGAUAAAAGCCUAAAAAGUCAUGAAUCUAUAGACUUCGUCAACUUCCCCAAUCUUUUUUUCUUUUUCUUUUAAAAAUAUCUGUUAGCGAUCUACUUGUUUUGUCAAUAAAUAAUAAAAUGAAAGCUUAUAAGAAAAAAAAUUCAUUUGUAUAAAACCUUUUUUUAAAUUAAAGAAAAGUACUUUCAAUUUUUUUUUUUUUGGAAGUCUAAUGAAGCCAUCGCGAUUGAUUGUCACUACCUGCAACACAUCAUGACGUGUGAGUUGUGACCAAGACCUUAUCUUCUCAGGAAAAGUGGAUGAAAAUGUUUGCUCCAUGAAGCAGAUCAACGUCACAACACAAGUUGGGAUAUUCUUUUUUAAUUCACUUGUAAUAAUUCUAUUAAAAAAGAAACAAAGAGAAAUAUUGUGUUGUUUUUCUUUCAGUACUCUGGUGCGAGGUAUUCAUUGCCAUGACGUGGCUUAAAUUUAGUAAAUAAACAAUUCUCUGUAAAAGUGAUGCUACAAUUAUGUAAUUGGGAUAAAAGGCGUUAAUAUAUUGUUUGUAUCUAAAGGGUGUGUUCUGCACACUGUAUUAUAUUUUAUUGUAUUAUAUUAUUUUAAUGUAAAUAUAUUGUAUUAUACUACAUUACAUUAGUAAUGUAUUAUAAUAAUAUUGUAUAAUGGUUUGUGUUACACUGUAAUGUAUUAAUUUUAUUGUGAUUAAUUUAAAUUAUAUAUUUAGAAAAUAAUAUUUUUUAGUACCUAUAAAAAUACUAAGUAUAGAAGUUUUAAAUUUUAAAAAUUUAACAUUAUUUUUAGUAUAAAUUUUAAAAAAUAUCAUAAUUUUUUCAUAAAGAUCAAAGCUUAUAACUUUACAUUUUUGGCAACAUAACAUUCAUUUUUCAGUAUUUUUUAAAUAUAUAAUGUGUAAAAUAAAGAUCGAAUGAUAUAAUUUAAUCCAAUAAUCUCUAAAUAAUAUCAUAAUCUAAUAAUGUUUUAUAUUAUUAUUUUAUUGGUAUUAAUUUUAAAUUAAUAUUAUUUAAAUUUAUUCAUAUACAAAUAUUUAUUAUUCGUUAUAUUAAAUUAUUAUUUAAGUAAUUAUUAUUAGUUUUAUUAAAUUGUUAAAUAAUAAUAAAAUUUAUAUAUUAAUUAUUAUAAUAUAAUUAAAUAAUGUAAUAUUAUGUAAUAUUUUUAUUUUUAUAUAUUAUUUAAGUACUUAUUAUUAGUUAUAGUAACUUGUCAAAUAUUAAUCGAUUUUAUUUAUUAAUUAUUAUAAUAAAAAUAAAAAUAUGAAUUAUUUAUUAAUUUAUAUUAAUAAUUAUGAUGUUAAAAUAAAAGAAAAUAAAAAUUAAUAUUAUAUUACAUGAAAAAGUUAUAUUUAUUUUUUAUUAUUUAUAAAAAAAAAAAAAGAAGAGCAAAACACUAAUGUGGCUAUUGUCGCAUGAACUAAACCCGACUCCGCAUUAGUAUACCCCCUUUAACCCAUUACAAUUUUUUUACAAACACAACCUUGGUAUUAAGUUAAUGUGAACUGGAUUUUAAUACCCUGUAAUCCUAUGAUUCAAACACACCCAAAGUGAUGAACUGAGACCAGCAAAACCAAACCAAAUGAUUUCAACGACAUAGUUGGGAUGAUAAAACAAGAAUGUUCUACAUACAGUUAUGGUUCUGGCUUUUUGACAAUCAUUCAAGCAAAUUUACUUCCAAGAGGGCGACUCCCACAUUGAUGAUACAGGUACAAUUGAGGUCUUGGCCACUGUGAAAUUGCAGCACAUAGCAGCAAUGGCAAGCAUUAAAUUGCAACCCAGGCUAGCAUUCCAUUAAAGACUAGAGAUGGCUGGACUCGAGAAGCAAAAUGGAAUGUUAAGCAUCAGAAACCUUCUUAAAAGAAAAGCAAGUUUCACCGUCAAAACUUAUGGAGUACACCUGAGAGUUAAGCUUCUCAAAGAAUAAUAAUCAAACUCAAUAAGAGACGAAGAGUAGCUCAACUGAAAGAGUUUCAAAUAAUUCUCGCAGCUCCGU